AAGUUAUGCAGUCUUGUGGUUGGAAAUUUCACCGCUUCGUGGCGUUAGUGUGCAUUUCUGGAGAUUGUCAGAUUUAGAUGGUUUGUGAAAUAAAAAAUUAAGUGUUUAAAGCAUAAAAACCCGAUUUAAUCCACCUAUGGUGAACAGAACCCUUCUUACACUUAUUAAAAUUAUUGUUGUAUUAUUUGUAUUUAACAUAUUUAUUUUGUGUAAUUGACCAAAAGUUCUAGAAAAUAUUGUGGAUUUGGCAUCUAGUGGAUUGGUUUCCAAAAAAGCAUCAUGAACCAUGGACUUAACUACCAGAAAUGCCAGACACCUCUUAGAACCUUGUAUGGAAUGAUAAAAAAAUAGCUUACAUAUUCUGGAAUAUUGUAUCUUUUGUUAACUGCCAAAAGAUCUUGAAUCGAUUAACGAAUGGAUAAGAAAAUCAUCGAGAUAACUUUGUCUAAUAUCUCUUAAUCAGUCGAUUGAAUUAGCUCCGAAGUACUUGGUAUUCAUGGUUAUGGUGUAGAAAGGACAAAAAUGCUAUAUCUACUAAGUUAAUCAGUUUUGGCGUUAGCUAGUUAUUUUAGCUGUCCGGUUCUUGCAUUUUUCCCACAAUAUAUAAAUUCAAAGCUUUCAUUUAACAUAUUGUUACUUUUCAUAGAAUUCCUGUUUAUUUGUAAUUUGUUAUUUAUUAUUUUGUUGAAAACAAUAACCUGCUAGUAUACACUUUAUAUGAGGUCAGCAUUAUUUAUUGAACAAUUUCCCAUAUACUGGUCAACAACUCAUGCAAGAUAACAAGUGAAUAUAAUAAUAAAAAAAGAAUUUAUUGAAAUACUCUUCGUUAGAUAUCUCAGUAAUCAAAUGUUGAAUAGAAAUAAAAUUUCAGGGCCUUUUACAAGGAUAUUGUAGCUUUGAUUUGGUGCUAAGCGAACCCAAAUCGGUUGACAGACGGUUGAGAUAUUUAUUAUGGUACCCUUGGUCAAAAAUCUCUCAAAAAGUUAGCCUGUAUUACUCCCAAGUACUCUUUGAAAGAUAUCUCGGUAAUCAAAUGUCUAAUCCUAAUAAAAUUGUAUAGGGUUCUACCGUUCUACUAGAAUGUUGUAGCUUUCAUUUGGUGCCAGGAGAACCGAAAUCGGUUGACAGACGGCUGAGAUAUUUAUUAUGAUACAUUCGGUCAAAAAUCUCAAAAAGUUUAGUUGCAUAAAUCCUAAGUACUCUUCGAAAGAUAUCUCUGUAACCAAAUGUCCAAUCGAAAUAAAAUUUCUGAGGGAUCUACUAGGAUGCUGUAGCUUUCAUUUGGUGCCAAGAGAACCCAAAUCGGUUGACAAACGGCCUAGAUAUUUAUUAUAAUACACUUGGUCAAAAUUUUUAAAAAGUUUAGAUGCAUGACUCAUAAGUACUCUUCGAGAGAUAUCUCGGUAACCAAACGUCUAAUCGAAAAAAAAUUCAAUAGCGUUCUACUAGGAUAUAGUAGCUUUCAUUUGCUUCCAAGAGAACUCAAAUCGGUUGAAAGACGGCUGAGAAACGUGCGUGACUUUUUUUUGUAACGCACAUACACACACACACACACACACACACACACACACACACACACACACACACACAUACACACAUACACACACACACACACACAUACAGACAUUUGCUCAGUUCGUCGAGCUGAGUUCAUUGGUAUAUGAGACUCGGCCCUCCGGGCCUCGGAUCGAAAGUCGGUUUUUCGAGCGAUAUUUAUACCCUUCUUAUGGGUGUAAGAAGGGUAAAAAGAAAUAGCCUUCUGCUAUUGAAUGGUUUAUCAAAAGCUUUUAACAGAGUUUCUCAUUUUAAACUACUGCACAGAUUAUAACACCUAUUUGAUUUCAGCUGAGAUUCUGUUUCAUUGAGUAAAUCAUAUUUGAAUAACCGCUUUCAAAUUGUGGAAGUUAAAAUAAAUCAUUGAUGUCCGAUCGCUAUUCUAUCGGGAGUGUCACAAAGAUCGAUUUCAGGACCAUUGAUGUUAGCCUUAUUUUUCAACGGUCUUCCAUCAUCUUUGAAAGUAUGUAAUAUCCAUAUGUUUGCAGAUGAUAAGAAGCUGUAUUUCUACUGAAUUAUUAUGGACGUUAAAUGCAUGGCAAUGAAACGUGACUUACGACAUGAUGUGCCGAAAUUCGAUAUAAAUUUCUAAGCUCCACAAAUAAUUUGUUUUCAAUCAAUUCUUUAAAAACUAAGGUGAUUGUAAUUUGCAGAUGACUAAUUGAUCCAGUUGUAUUAUGUUAAUUCAAUAAAAAUGAUAAAACUUCUAAUUUAAGAAUAUUUUUUUUAAAUAAUCUAGAAUGGGAUCACAAACUGCAAAACCUAUGGAGGAUUGUGAAACUUAAAACUUACUUCAGGAAUGUUAACAGUUUCAAUGGUUCUACCCCGUUAGGCCGAAAGCCGUUAGGCCGAAUGCCGUUAGGCCGAAUGUCGUUAGGCCGAAUGCCGUUAGGCCGAAAGGGUCGUUAGGCCGAAAGGGUCGUUAGGCCGAACAGGUCACUAGGUCAAAUGGGUUGUAAGGUUAAACGGUUAGCUUAGGCAACUGGAUGGAAAGAAACUGUUUAAUGUUCGAGAUAAACGGUCUUCGACCUUGAAAUUUUGGUUGGCUUUGAAUGGUUAAUUGAAUAAACACACUAAUAGUUUUUCGCGUUUUAAAGUCUAAAUUAUAGUUACACCGGAAACAAAUUCAGAGUUCCAGUACAAACAUGAUUAACAAGAUUAAACAACUGAAUCGAGUUCUCUAAAACUUAGAAAGAACAGCCUAUGUUUAAAAGAAGGAAAAAUCUUCGAAGAAAAAGCUGUUAGUCGUUAUGCUUAUAGUGAGUAAAAAAGUAAUACUACGAAAAAACACCCUAUGUUCAGAAGAAGGAAAAACUCUGUUGAGGGCUGUAAAACAUUAAAACUAGAAAGAGCAGCAGUAGACUACCGCCUAGACUACCGCCGUGAAACAGGACAGUUAGACUAGAAAGAGUUUAGAAGAAGUAAAAUUUCAGAUGAAAAAAUUGAUUACUAUAAUACGAAUAUGGGUAAAACAGCCUAUGUUCCGAAGAAGAAGGAACUCUGAUGAAAAAGUUAAUGGCUGUAAUCUUUAUAAUGAAAAAAGAACAACCUAUUUUCAAAAGAAGGAAAAAUUUCCGAUGAAGAAUUUAAUAGCUGUUAUGUUUUUAGUGAGUAUAACAGUUAGACUAGAAGAAAAGCCUAUGUACAGAAGAAGGAAACACUUGUAUGCAAAAAUUAAUGGCUGUAAUACUUAUAAUGAGCAGAAUAGUUAAACUAGAAAGAACAGCCUAUUUUCAAAAGAAGGAAAAAUCUCUGUUGAAAAAAUAAUAGCUGUAGUGCUCAUAGUGAGUAGAACACUAAAAAUAGAGAGAACAGCCUAUGUUUAGAAGAAGAAAAAAUCUCCGAUGAAAGAUUUAAAAGCUGUAAUGCUUAUAGUGAGUAUAACUGUUAGACUAGAAGAAAAGCCUAUGUACAGAAGGAGGAAAUACUCUUAUGAAAAAAAUUAUGGCUGAAAUACUUAUAAUGAGUAGAAUAGUUAACCCUCAGAGCCCCAGGACAAACUUUUUAUUUUUAAUCGGCUGAUACUCAGGAUCUGUAAAAUAUAAAAAUAAGCAGUUUUCACUAUGAUCGAUGGGAAGAGUUGUAUUUCAUGCUAGGGUAGUUGUCAAACCGGAAGUCCAUGCUUGAACCUGAUUUUGCACCGGAAAUAAGUGUUCCCUAGUGCUAUGUUUGGCGAUAUGUUCUACAGCUGCCUUUUGGCUACUUUUUUCAAUAAUUAGCUGUUGAUUCUCGGUAGAUCAAUUAAGGUGGAAUCUAAAUCUGUCCUUUAAUUUCUUAGCGAAGCGUGCUUUUACAAAUUGGAAUCAUUCUUGUAAAUUGGGAUAGAAACCGAUAAACGCCUAAAAGUAUGCAAUGAUGUAGUAAUAAUUCGUAGACUAAAAGUAUGACCAGUGUUUGAAUUUUAGGUGGAUUUAUCACAUGAGUAAUACUUUUAAAAGAAGGGCUCGAAUAUACGAAACAAAUUCUUCAUAGACACCAAACUUCUCAAAUCAUCUUUUCAGGUGCAAAAUUAUUAUGAUCACGAAAUUGGGUCUUAGGGAGUCCUACCGGAAGUACACUCCUGGGACCAAGUUUCAGAUGCAUCUCAUGCCAGAAAGCAGCCUCAGCAUUGUGUUCUUGCGUUGGCCUACCAUUUCAAGUUGUUAAAGAUUUCAGAAUUAUUAUAAAAUACCAGAUUCAUAGACGACUCGCCAAAACAUUGCACCAGAGAACACUUAUUUCCGGUGCAAAAACAGGUUCAAACAUGGACUUCCGGUUUGACAACUACUCUUACAUGAAGUACAACUCUUCCCAUCGAUCAUAGUGAAAACCGCUUAUUUUUAUAUUUUACAGAUCCUGAGUACCAGACGAUUAAAAAAAAGAAGUUUGUCCUGGGGCUUUGAGGGUUAAACUAGAAAGAACAGCCUAUUUUCAAAAGAAGGAAAAAUCUCCGAUGAAAAAAUUAAUUGCUGUAAUUCUCAUAGUGAGUAGAACAUUAAAACACAAACAACAGCCUAAGUUUAAAAGAAGGACAAAUCCCGAUGAUAAAUUUAAUAGCUGAAAUGCUAUACUUAUUCUUCACCACUUAUCCUUACAGCUUUUUUGUCCACUAGGGCACUACGUAAGCGAUUCCAAUUGGCAGCUGAACUUACACUUUGUACAGCGCCUAAAUGUAUUCUAUUUUACUAUUUUGGACUGGUUGCCUUUGCGCUGUUUUCUUUUUUGUAUCCUGCUCAUGCUAGAAUGAUAAGUACGAUCAUGUUGAUGCUUUAAGGUUAGGUAUAAUAGCCUUUUUGUUAUUUGUAUUACAUUCAUUUGCAAGUAGUAUUAUGUUGACAAUGUUACUGUAUUGAAUAUCUUUAUCCUGUCGAUAGCUUUGGUUGUGCCCGUUCACCAUAACACUUUGUUUCUAACUAAAAAUAAGCUUUUUCGAGAUACUGUAUUAUAAAUCUUUUCUACUUAGCCUCCCAAAUUGAUAUUCCCCACAGUUCCCAAUGAUGUCGACUUUUCUCAUGUUUAUCUCGUUUUGUGCAAUAUAAAACGAUAUAAGUCAGUAGGCACAUAUAAUGACAACCUAUUCGGCCUAACGACCCUUUCGGCCUAACGACCCUUUCGGCCUAACGACCCUUUCGGCCUAAUGACCCAUUCGGCCUAACGACUCUUUCGGCCUAACGACUCUUUCGGCCUAACGACCCUUUCGGCCUAACGGCAUUCGGCCUAAUGGCCUUCGGCCUAACGGCAUUCGGCCUAACGGCUUUCGGCCUAACGGCCUGCUCCCUUGCAUUACCCCUAGUAGGAUAUUGGGGUCAAUAUCAGGGUGGCCACACAAAAUCCAAAUUGAAAUUCCCGCAUUUUUCCCGACUUUUUCCCGCAUUGAUUUUAAAUUUUCCCGACUUUCUUUAUAUUACCUGUGGAGCAGUAAAACAUCCAAGAAUCCAAACUUUUAAGUGGAUCUGUAAAACUUACUGAAAGAUUUACAGUGUCAUUGUGAUACUGUGACAAUUUUACAAUAUAUUGGAGACUAGCUGUCCCGGCAAACAACUGCCUGCCUACUGUGUUUUUGACAUCAAGUUUUAUAGAAAGUGUCGCUCAAAACGGAAUUUCAGAUUUUAGUGUUUUUCUGGCAUCCCUGGACACCAUUUACAAUUAUUUUCUCACACGAACACGUCGGAGCCCUGCACGUAUGCAACAGUGAAAUAAUGAAGCAUAUCCGUUGACCCGUUCCCGAGCCUAUUCGUGACAUACAAACACCAUUCCAUUUUUAUUUAUAUAGAUGUUAACAUCAAAAGAAAUUUACAUGUAACAUGUGCUUCAAGUUUUCUUCUUAUUCUGGAUGUUGUGUAACGUAAAACUAUACUUGAACUCCUUAAGAAAUGCUUGAUAAAGUUCCUAUGAAAAUGUAGUCGGCUAACUGAAAUAUUCUUCUUUGGUGAAUUCUGUAUAGAAGUUCAAAUCUGUACAUAAAACAGAUAAGUUGUGUCUAUGAGAGCACUAGUAGAGUAAAGUGGGGCAAAAGUUCGAGUGGGGCAAGAGUUUCUUUUGAAGUUUUUGAACUCAAUUCAAAUGAUUUCUUUCGGGUGUCAAGGUUGUUCGAACCCUUUUUGGAGAAGAGUCUUUCACUCCAAAAAUUAUGAAAAUUGAUCAAUAUUUCGAGAAGUUAUGACAAAAUGUUGGUUUUUGAUCAAAAAAUUGUAACAUGCGAUAGCCCUUCCAACGCAUGGAAUGAAAUUUUAAUGAAAUCGAAUUCGAUAUUUUAUUUUGGGGCGUAACUAGGUAUAUUUUGAAGAUGCUCUAGCAUGUAUAACUUUUUGCAAAAAUGAUUUGGAAAUCGUAUUUUACACAUAGUGGGGCAAAAGUUCGAAUUGUGGGGCAAAAGUUCGAGUCAUGUGGCAACUUUAGGUAUAAACCUAAAAUUCUGUAAAAUGUACAUAUUAUCUCUAAGAGUGAUGGCAUUAGUGAGAAAAUUCGAUUAAAGUUGAAAAAAAAAGUUGUUUUAUCUGAAUUUAGCGGAAAACUACUAAUUUUUGGUGUAGUAAAUUUAACCCUGAUUUGGGUAAAAUCCAAAUCGAGUUUUAAAGUGUAUUCCACUUCUAACAUCAAAUAUUAAGUGGUUUCAGGUAUUCCUAUUACCAAAGUGUCAAAAUAGUGUGCUACGGUUAGCGAAAUUCCACAAACACUAGAUUCGAACUUUUGCCCCAGUGGUGGGGCAAGAGUUCGAAUAAAACACACACAUACAAAAUGUGUUGUAACUCAAAAUUGAAAAGACAUUUGGCGUAACUUUGUUCAGCAAAAUUUUAGUACAUGGAUAGUAGAAUCACCACACGGUAUUUAUUUAUUUUUAUCUGCUUCGAUUUUUUGAAAUAAGUUGAAUUAUCAACUAAGGUCGAACUUUUGCCCCACCUUACUCUAAUGAAUUCCUUAGCGGAAUUUUCUCAAAAAAAUUAGAAAAUAUGUGGGGAUUUUAAAAGGUUUUCAAUUCAUAAACAAUUUCUAGCUGAAUUUGUAGAGAAGUUCUAAAACCCUGAAAAACAUAAUUUUGACAUUUCUGAAUUCAUGUGUAAGGUUUUUUUUAAUAUUUUAGGAAAAAUAGAUAUUCUGGGCUUCAGCUUUAGUAGAAAAAUCCCAUUUUGGAAAAACUCAUUUGGAAGCUUGUGAAUAAUGAAAACUGAUGCGUAGAGUGUACAUCUUAAAAAAGAGUCCAAUUUUAGUCGAAUUUCUCUAGGAGUUUGAAGUGAAUCUAGUACAGCCGUUUUUGAGUAGCAUUCAAACACAAACUUAUUUAAACUUAUUUAAACUUAAUUAAAUGAGUUUGUGAUUCAAACCUUUGGAUUAACCUAGGGUCAAGCAAAAAAAUCAUCAGACAUACCUACAAGUUGGGCUUAAAAUUAUUUCCGUAUAAGAAGUGUUCUUUUUCUUUUGACUUUCACGAUUUCAGGACAAUGUUUCGUCAGCAAAACUUGUAGAACCCCCAGAGAGACAUAAAUCAGUUCUUCAGAUUUGCAUUAGGAAUUAAGGUUAAAAACUCCUUUACAAUGUUCAUAUGUCUGUCCUAAGGAAUUCACGCUAGAAGCUGUUCAUGUUUUCCAUUGGUUAAGGAAUACCUUCAGGAGACAAGUCAUACAAAGAUUUAAUAAAAAAAAAUCUAGAAGAUCCUGUCUUCUGGUUUUUAAUUUGCAAUUUUGCUUCCGUUUUAAUGUCAAGUUCCAGGUUAGUGAAUUUAUCCAGUAAUUCUACAAAAACUUACACAGAAAAUACUUCAACAUAAUUUUAUUAAAAAUCUUCCAGAAACUCUUCCGAGACGACUGAAUUUUUUAUGCUUUCAGUAAUUAUUCCAAAAAAAUUUGAAAUGUCACUAUACGAAAUUGUUAGUAUGAUGAUUUUGGUGAUUGCAGAAAGCUUUUCUAUGAACUCAUUCUGAAAUUUCUAGAAAUACCAUUAAAAACUCCUUCAAAGCAAAAUUUUCUGGAAGUCCUUGACUAGCGAAUUAAAGAGUUAUUUCAAAAAGUUUCAAUAAAAACUUAAAUUCUUGAUAUAUAUAUAUAUAUAUAUAUAUAUAAAUAUAUACGUUGAGUUUCAUUAAAUAUCAUUAUUAUUAUUAGUUGAAAAAACAGCUUCGUUGAAACAACAAAAUUAAAUUUUAGUUUCAAUACAAUACCUUUUAUUACUUCAGAACAUUGCUUUUGUAGAUUUGCUAAAUCGUAUUUUUGUUUCGAAAAAUUUUAUGCAUUGGGUUUGAUAGCAGGUUGAUUUCGGGCAAUUCUAGAAACAAAAAACUUUAUUGUUGUUACAAAUUUAUGAAUUUGUUGAAUCAACAAUAUUUGCAGGUACACGCUGAGUCAACAAUAAAAAUCUGUUGAAUCUAAAGACUGGACUCGAAAAAAAUGAGACACAAAGAAUAAUGUAUAACUUUUGAUUGCGUGUACAAAAAUAGCUGAUUUUUUUACCAGGAAUAGUACAUUAUGUGUAGCUAAUGCCAUAAAAAUUUCAUCAAAAUCGGUUAAGUGUUGGCGGAGAUACCGUCGAAAUAAGAGACUUACCAUUUGAGAAUCUUGGGCUAAACAAACACUUAAAAAAAUAUCACAUUUUUUACCUAAAACUGUAGAGCCAAAAAUACUGAACCGAUUUCUAUGAAAAUUUUAGAUGUAUUGUGUCAAAAAUUCAUUCAAUUUGAUUUGACCUUUAAAAAGUUAUAGCCAUAUAUGUAGUACUAUGUCACAAUAAGCAAGUGUGGUUUUUGGUAUAGUGACAUUCAAACUGCUCUAACUUUUAAAAUGUUCAAUCAAAAUGGCUGAAAUUUUCACUGAGAACAGAUUAACACAACGAUUUUACACUGUCAAAGUUUCAAAAAAUAUCGGGACAGUGUUGCCAAUACUACAGUCAAAAUAAUGCACACUGAUUUUAAAAUGUAAAAAAGUGCCCAAAAUUUGUAAACCCCGUUUUUUGUUUGAAUUGUUAAAAAGAAGUACUGAACCGAUUAUAAUGAAAUUUUCACCACUUAUUUAUGACUUACUUGAAGAACUUACAGUCAAAUUUUUAGACGUUUUGAUGAGCUAACAAUCAAGUUAUAGCCUAAAUAAUUUUUAAAAUGGAAGCCCAAAAUUUCCAAAAUCACAUUUUAUUGUAUCGACAAUAUUUGCGCCAAUACUGAACCGAUUUUGAUGAAAUUUUUAGGGCAUUACCUACACAUAACAUGCUAUUCCUGGUUAAAAAAUCAGCUAUUUUUGUGAAUGCAAUCAAAAGUUAUAAAUUAUUUUGAGUGUCUCAUUUUUUUCGAGUCCAAUCUUUAUGCAGAAUUCCUUUGGUUUUAGAAUAUAUUUUUCUGCGUAUAACAUAUUAGGAGGGUUAAAUCACUGCAUACGUUGGGCAUUCAAUUUGACUAGAUACUCUAGUGUGGGUCACCUACAAUGACAACUGCUGGGAUACUCAUUUCUUAUUUUUUAACUACGUUAUUGUGCGAUGCUAUAUGGAAUCAUUCACCAAGGACCUAAAGAUUGUGGCCUCAUCACUAAGAUACUGAUGAUCUUAAGGCUUAAGCACCCGUCGUCAUUUUUCGGAAAAUAAAAAGCAGUUUUCUCGCUGUAAAUCAAAACAUCGACCAUGAAAAUGACUGAGAAUCCAAGAUAAGCGCGACAAUAUCUAUCUGAGCUUUCCUAAACGUCUGGAUCUUGAUUGAAACUUGUCAAAAAUGCUGUAUUUUACAAGCACAGUAGCACCGCACAGCGGCGUAAUGCGUACCAAACACCAGCUGUAAAAUGUUCAUUUGACAUAAACUGCAUUUUCAAAACUAUAACUGAGUUUGCUAUAAUGUUCAUAUAAAGAUUAUCAAAAUAUUUUUUUUUGUAUUAUAACUGACCUUGUUAUAUUUCUGAUAUAAUUAAAUCAGGUUUUCAAAUCAUUUUUGUCAAAUAUAUCUUAUUAUUAUUAUUAGCUUUAUUAAGGAGAUUUUCAGCCCGCGGCUGGUUCAUCUCCACGAAAUAUAUCUAAAUAUAACAAACGGUGAUAUAUCUAUCAACCGUUGAUAUAAUUUUGUUACAUUUUUGUUAUGCCUUUCUGAUCGGGUAGGUUACCGCUUCUGAUGCAUAUGCAGAAGGUCCUGGGUUCGUCCCUUUCCUCCUACUUUGUAUCUUUCUACCUACUGUCUCUCUCUAUACAUCUUAUAUUAUAUUAUUAUGUUCAUAGUCAUCGCUAGAACCAGAAACGAAGUAAAAAAACGUUUCUUUUCCUUCCAACUUCCACAGCACAGUGUCAAUCACAUAACGCCCACUAGCUAUGCAACCAACCCGACUAGAAGAUUCUAACAAAAAUAUAACAUAAUUAUAACAAACCAUGAUAUGUAUAACUCAUUGUGAUAUGAUCAUGUUUAAUAUCAUUGCUGUUUGAAAAUAUUAUAACUCAAUUGUAUCAUAUUAUGUUAUAAAUGUUGUUCAAUAACUCAUUGUGAAAUAAUUUAGUUCUGAUUCUUUGACAUUCAGAACAUCAUUUUACAGAAUUGUAUCAAACUAUGAUAGAAAUUAGUUUUCUUGAAGCUAAGAUUUAUAUCAUAUUGUGUUAUAAUUUUGUUCUGAUUACAGGUCGGACUCGAUUAUCCGGAGUCAAGUUCUGAUGAUUCUCAAAUAUAUAUCUGGCGAACGGAAUGCUCUAUAAAGCUGAAAUUUUGACAUUUUGUCAAGCCAACUUUGAUUAGUGAUCAGUCAAAAUUUCAGCUUCUUACAUUGUUUCGUUCGUGAGAUAUUAUUUUGGUAAGCGCCAGAACCCGACUCCGGAUAAUCGAGUCCGACCUGUAUAACAAAAAAGGUUGUUAUUUUGAUUAGACCGGUGUACUUUUUGUUACAGUUUUAGUUAUUUUAACAUCAUCCUGCAUCUAGUUUAUAACAAAAUAAGUUAUAGAAAAAUUUCAUAUCAUCAUAACGCAAUGUGUUAUAAACUUGAUAUAUUUUUCUAGUCGGGAAGCAAACUGUGCCACAUCAUCUUCACAGUAAUCUUCACACAAUCUAUCACUUUACGUCUGGCAUCCACGCACCAAUGCACAGUGGGAAAAAUCGACCCAAAAAACGGAUCUUUUAACGCCGCUGGUUUCGGUACUAAAAGUUGACCAUUUCUGACGUAAACAAACUACAAGAAAUCGAUUGGUGCUAAAUUCAUUCACUGCACGGCACGGGAAGUGGUCCAUUUUGCCCCAUUUUGCCCUUUUUUUCAUACAAAAAGAGAAUCAAAAUGUACUUUCAAACAACCAACACGACUGUAGAUCGUUGAAAAUAGCUGCAGGUGUAGUUAGAGGUCAAUAGAAAUCAUAAACAUAUAUGAAAGAUCCUUUUAAAUGCUCAUUUUGCCCCAUAUGCCCCAUCAACUGCUGGAAAUUGUGAAUUUUACAUAAUUAUGAAUGAAUUUUUAAUGUUACUAAUUUGAAUGUGUUUUUUUUUUUGCAUAAACAAAAAGCGCUAGUUCUGAUAUCACCAGAAUCAUCUUCAGUAGUUGUCCAAUUUGCCCCAUUUUGCCCUAUUAUCAUAAAAAAUGAGAUUUAAAGUACUUAUAAGAAACAGAUACUGCUAUGGAACGUUGACAUUAGUUCUAGUUGCAAUUGGAAGCUAACAGUUAUCAUGCGCAUAUAUGAAAGAUAUUUUCCCUAUUUUACCGUACAUUCCCCUAAAACUGCUGGAUGAUUUUUUGUAUUGUUUUGUAUUGUUUUAUAAUGUCACUGGUUGCAAUACAUGAAGUCCUGAAUCAUUUUUUUAUGUAUGCAAAUACGAUUUAUCGAUUAGCUUCCGAAUGAUUCACGGGAAGAUACAAAUAGCUCUCCAUUUUACCCCAAUUUGCCUUGAUUUGUUGUCGCCUCAUGAAUGAAUUGAUUUCCCGCAUUUGCUUAUGUCCGAAUUGAUGGACUUUUGUUACUGAAACCAAUGUAAUCGAAAGGACAGUUAAAACAUAUGACUUUAGUGGGGAAUACAGGGUAUAAUAAGCAUUGACCCUAAUUUUAAUUUGUGGCACAUAUGCACACCACUGAUUAUAUGAGGCAUCUUAAGUAUAUAUAUACGCACUAUUUAAUCAGUUUAGUGCAUAUAUUACAUAUUUUAUGAAAUGCUUAUUACGCCCUUAAUUCCCCAUCAAAAGCUGAAAUUAUAGAAAGAGUCAUAUAUAUGUCUUUUUGAUAACAGUACCAAUAAUGCUAAUAAGGGAAAUUAAUUUAUUCAUUACAUGACAAAAAAUCAGGGCAAAUUGGGGUAUAAUGGACAGCUAUUCAUACCAUUCCGAGAAUGAUUCUAGCAUUAAUCGAUAAAACGCAUUUGUAUAUAUCAAAAAUGAUCCAGGACUUAAUGUUUUGCAUCCAACAACAUCAUACAAAAUAUGUUAUUAUCCAGCAGUUUUAGGGGAAUGUAGGGUAAAAUAGGGAAAAUAUCUUUCACAUAUGCGCAUGUUAACUGUGAGCUUCCGAUUUCACCUAAAUCUAAUUUCAACGUUCUAUAGCAGUAUUUGUUUUUCAAAAAUACAUUUUAAAUCUAUUUUUUUUUCAUGAAAAUAGGGCAAAAUGGGGCAAAUCGGACAACUCCCGAAGAUGAUUCUGGUGACAAUAGAUCUGGCACUUUUUGUUUAUGCCAAACAAAUCAAUUCAAAUCAGUAACAUUUAAAAUCCUUUCAUAAUUAGGAAAAAAAUGUGAAUAUCUAGAAGUUGUUGGGGCAUAUGAGCAUUUAAAAGGAUCUUUCAUGCAUUCCUAUGAUUGCUAUUAACUUCCAAUUACACCUGCAGCUAUUUUCAACGAUCUACAGUCAUGUUGAUUGUUUGAAAGUACAUUUUGAUACUCUUCUUGUAAGAAAAAAAGGGCAAAAUUGACCAUUUCCCGUGCCGUGCGGUGAAUAAAUUUAGCACCAAUAGGUUUCUCGUAUUUUUUACGUCAGAAAUGGUCAACUUCACGUACUGGAACCAACGGCGUUAAAAGAUCCGUUUUUUGGGUCGAUUUUUCCCACUUUUUUUCCCACUGUGCAAUGCAUGAACCCUCUGCCAAAAAUGACCAUUUCCCAACAACACUCCGACAUCCGAAUGACCUUGUGCAGGCGCAGAGGAUUCAACGGCUUGAAGUGGACAAACGGGCAACCAUCACUUCCCUCCCCUUUCCCACAUUGACCUGCAUCCUGACGUAGCAGGCGCCAUUGUCGCCUAAAAAUAGAAAAUCUCCAACACUCACACCCUGAAGAUGCCUGUUGGUCCCAGGCAGCAAUCUCAUUGGUUUCUUGUGUUAGUGUAGCUGACCUGACGAUACGGAUGUAGCAACUACGGGUGGUCAAACAAGCUUAAGCUCAAGCUAUGCUUACACUCUUAUUUCAUCUAUUUUUUUUUCAGUGAGACCAUGCUGAAAGUCUGGGUUCGGUUUCCUGUCGGUCCAGAAUCUUUUCGUAAGCAAGAAUCCAUGGAUGUAGUUGCAUCAUGUUUUAUCAAUUGUUGACAUUCUCUUGCUCUUUGUAGCAUGUUUUACCAUACCUAAUACACGACUUGUUGCACUAUCGAAGAAUCCCCUUCGCCCCCACAUGGAGUACUUCCCGCAGGAAUCCCGGUAAAAUUUUGUGGAGGAAUCCAGUCUCAAAAAAAAAAAAAGUCGGAAGAAGUCUUAGGAGGCAUAACGGAAAGAAUCACGAAAGAAAUCCUCAAAGAAUCCUGGAGGAAUCCCAGAAGAAAUUCCGGAGACAAUUCUGACAGAGAUACUUGAAGGAAUCCCGGGAGCAAUCCAUGAAAUGCUGGGAGGACUCUAUGAAAGAAUCCUGGGAGUAAUUCGUGAAGAAAUUCCGGAUGAAAGCCCGGGAGAAGUCCCUGUAGGAAUCCUGUGAGAUAAUCAAGGAAAAUUUCUGAAAGAAUCUAUGAAGGAAUCCUGAUAGAAUCCAUAAACAAAUCUUGGAGUAAUCCCUGGAAGAAUCUCAAAAAGAAUCCCUUUGAAUAUCCUGAUGGAAUCCCUGAAAGAGUCCCGGGAGAUAUCUAUGAGAGAAUUUCGAGAUGAAUCCCGGGAGAAAAUCCAGAACAAAUACAGGCAGAAUCCCUGACACAAUCUCGGGGAUAAUCUCGGGAAUAAUCCUGGGAGUUUCCUGAGAGGAAUUAAUAAAGGAAUCCCUGAUGGAAUCGAGGGAAAACCAAACAAGGAAUCCAAGAACGAAUCCCGAGAGAAAUCUUUAAAGUAUUCCCGAGAAGAAGCCUUGAAACAAGCCGUGAAUCAAUCUCUGAAAGAAUCUCUAAAAGAAACCUGCGAGAAAUCAAUAGUGAAGUCCCGUGAGGAAUCAAUGAAGGAAUUCCGGGAAGAAUUACUGAAGGAAUCCGGUGAGGUAUUCAGCAAGUCCUGGGAGAAGCCCGGGAGAAUAUCCAGGAAAAGGCCUGGAGGGAUCCCUGACGUAAUCUCGGGACUAGACUGUAAAAGUAUCCCGAGAGGAAACACGGAAGAAAUCCUGAGAGGAAUCCCGGUAAGAAUUCCUACAGAAAUCACAUGAGCAAUUCCUGAAGAUAUCCCGGGAGGAGUUCGGGAAUAAAUCUCGGGAAUAGUUCCUGAAAGAAUCCAGGACUGAAUCCCAAAUGAAUCACAGGAGAAAAUCCAGGAAAAGGCCUGAAGGAAUCCCUGACGCAAUCUCGGGAACAAUCCGUGAAAGAAUCCCGAGAGGAAACUCGGCAUAAAUCCCGAGAUGAAUCAAUAGAGGAAUCCCGGGAAGAAUUCCUGAGGGAAUCACGGGAGAAAUGCCUGUAGGUAUCCCGGGAGGAAUUCAGAAAGGAAUCUCGAGAGGAAUUCCUGAAGGAAUCACGGAAGAAAUUGAUGAAGAAAUUGCUGAAGAAAUCCCGGACCGAAUCCCGAAAAGAAGCCCAGGUUGAAUGCCAAAAAAAUAAGGGAAAAUCCUGGAGGUAUCCCUGACGCAAUCCAUGAAAGAAUCCCGGGAGGAAACCCGUAAGAAUUAUGGAGAGGAAUUAGUGAAGUAAUCCCGGGAAGAAUUUAAAAAAAAAAUCAAGGGGGAAAUUUCCUGAAUCUUGGAAAGAAGUUCGGAAUGAAUCCCGGAAAGAAGUCCGGGAUGAAUCCCGGGAGAAAAUCCAGGAAAAGGCCUGCAGGAAUCCCUGACGCAAUCUCUAGAAUAAUCCGUGAAAGAAUCCCGAGAAGAAUCAUUGAAGGAAUCCCGGGAAGAAUUCCUGAGGAAAUCACGAGAGGAAUUCAGGAAUGAAUCUCGGGAGAAAUUCCUGACGGAAUCACGGAAGAAAUUGCUGAAGAAAUCCCGGACGCAAUCCCGGAAAGAAGCCCAGGUUGAAUCCCACGAUAAAAUCAAGGUAAAAUCCUGGAGGAAUCCCUGACGCAACCCGUGAAAGAAUCCCGGGAGGAAACCCGUAAGAAACACCGAGAGGAAUUAGUGAAGUAAUCCCGGGAAGAAUUAAAAAAAAAAUCAAGGGGGAAAUUCCUGAAGGAAUCCCGGGAGGAAUUUAGGAAGGAAUCUGGCGAGAAAUUCCUGAAGGAAUCUCUGUAGGAAUUCCUGAAGGAAUCUCGGAAAGAAGUCCGGGAUGAAUCCCGGAAAGAAGUCCGGGAUGAAUCCCGGAAAGAAGUCCGGGAUGAAUCCCGGGAGAACAUCCAGGAAAAGGUCUGCAGGAAUCCCUGACGCAAUCUCUAGAAUAAUCCGUGAAAGAAUCCCGAGAAGAAUCAUUGAAGGAAUCCCGGGAAGAAUUCCUGAGGAAAUCACGGUAGGAAUUCAGGUAUGAAUCUCGGCAGGAAUUCCUGACGGAAUCACGGGAGAAAUUGUUGAAGAAAUCCCGGACGCAAUCCCGGAAAGAAGCCCAGGUUGAAUCCCACGAGAAAAUCUAGGUAAAAUCCAGGUACGAAAGCGUUGCUUUCAAUUACUCUCACUCUCAUUGAGUCCCGUUGGUAUAGGGGCUAUUGACUGCGACCGGCAAUCACUCGAUCAGGGUUCAAGACCCGCUGGGCGCAAUAGUUGAAAACAUGGGUUGUGAAUUAUAAGACAUUUUUUCAAUUGAUGACGAUGUCGGUAAAGUAGAUUUUUGCUAUUUUCGUCGAUAAAAUAGCUCUGAAUGAUAACUAAUCGAUAACAAAACCAGUAAUCAAUCAGCUGUAUUUUUACAUGUUGAUAACUAAAAGCAAUGUUGAACAAAAUAUUGUAUAACACAAUUAGUUAUCAACUUGAACUCAACGAUAACUUAACUUCUUAUCAUGUUGAUAUUCGAGAAGUAAAUUUGAGUUAUCAUUUUUGUUAUGUUGGCUCUUAAUUCAACAUAAAUGAUAACAAACUCAGUUAUCAAACGAACGAUAACCAGGUAACAGAACUUGUUAUCAUUUUGUUAUUCGCCUUUGCUCGGGAUGUCCCUGACGCAAUUCGUGAAAGAAUCCCGGAAGGAAACCCGUAAGAAACCCUGAGAGGAAUUAGUGCAGUAAUCCCGGGAAGAAUUCUUGAAAGAAUCCCGGGAGGAAUUCAGGAAAGAAUCUGGCGAGAAAUUCCUAAAGAAAUCUCUGUAGGAAUUCCUGAAGGAAUCUCGGAAAGAAGUCCGGGAUGAACCCCGGGAGAAAAUCUGGGAAAAAUAUUGGAGGAAUCCCUGACGCAAUGUCGAGAAUAAUCGUAAAAGAAUUCCGGGAUGAAACCCGGAAGAAAUCCCGAGAGGAAUCAAUGAAAAAAUCCCUGAGGAAUCCCUUACGCAAUCUCAGGCAUAAUCCAUGGAAGAAUUCCAAGAGGAAACAGUGAAGGAAUCCCUGAUGGAAUGCCGGGAAAUGUCCUUGAAAGAAUCCUGGAAGAAAUCCCUGAGAGAAUUCCGGCGAGAGUUCCUAAAGGAAUCCCGGGAGGAAUCAAUGAAGGAAUCAUAGGGGGGACUACCAGAAAGGAAUUUCAAAAAAAAAAUCCUGAAAGUAUUCUUGACAGAGCCCUGGAUUAAUCCCAGGAGAUAUCAAUGUAGAAAAUCCGAAUAAUGGUGAACAGCGGAAUUCCGGAAAGAAUCCCGCAAGAAAUCCCGGGGAAAUUACUUAAGGAAUCUCAUAAAAGACGAAAAAAAAGAAUCACAAGUGAAAUCAAUGAAGUAAUCCCGAAAUCUCUGAAAGAAACCAGGAAGAAAUCACGAAAUAAAUUCAGGAGGAGUCCCUAAAUGAUUCUAAGGAUGAAUAUCUGAUAGAAUAUCGGAAGGAGUCCCAGGAAAAAUUUCUGUAGGAAUCCCGAGAGAAAUCAAUGAAGAAAUGUUGGAAGGAGUAGCGGCAGAAAUCUGUCAAGAAAUCCCAGGAACAAUCGAUGAAAGAAUAACUGAAUGAAUCUUGGGGAGAAUUUCCAAAGAAACCCGACCACAAGCACAUAACAAGAUGUUGUUAGAAAUAACAAUAGUUGAUAUAAUUCUGUUAUAAGGGUUUUUCUAUGUGAAUAUUCAUAACAAAAAUAUAUUAACUUUUGAUAUAACAUUAGUUACAAAAUUAUAACAAAACUUGUUUAAUUUUUCAAACAGAUGUAUAACAACAUUUGUUAUAUUAUGCAUUAUAAUAUAAUAGCCUCUAACAUAAUUUCACAACACGUUUACUGCAAUCUUUGUUAUCUUUUUUGUAAAAAAAAAAUUAUGAAUUUAUAAGAUUUUUUGCGUUGUCGUGAAAAAGAUUGUUAAUUUUUGUUAUUUUGGUCACUCGAGCCAAGAGAUUUAUAACAAAACUUGUAACAAAUUUGUUCUGAAAUAUAUAACAGUUAUAAUUUUGUUACAACUUCGCAAGUUUAGUCAAACAAAAUUUGAUAUAAUCUUGUUAUGAUUAUAUUUCAACUUGUCAUAUUUUUGUUUUAGUUAGAACGAUUUUUGUUAGAGUUUUUGUUAUUUUUUUAGUAUUUAGUAAUAGUAUUUUAUUGAAAACGGUAGCCUGUUAGUACAUAACUUUUGAUCAGGUCAAGGAAGUUAUUUUAAAUACUACCGGUACAUGCUUUAUAGCAAUCGUUGUUACAAAAAUCAUUGUAACAAAAUAACACAACCUGUAAAUUUUGUUUUUCCCAUCUAGUCGGGAACCCCUGUAAAAAUCAUUUCUUCAUUGAUUUUUACAGAGUUUUCUAUAGCAAUUCUUCCCAAGACCAUAAAGGAAUUGUAGGAGGAAUUCCUAGAGGAAUCUGUUACGAAAGUCCGGAAGAAAUUCUAGGGAAAUCCCUGACGGAAUCUACGGAAUAAUUCGUGAAAGAGCUUGAAGGCAAUCCUGGGAGCAAUCCCUAAAGAAAUAACGGGAGAAAACAAUAAUAGAAUCCCUGAUGGAAGGCCGGAAAAUAUCCCUGAAUGUAUCUCGGGAAUAUUCUAAGGGAAUCGCGGGAGGAAUACUUGACAAAAUGCCGUAGGAAUCCCAGGAGAAAUCCCUAAGCGAAACCCAUGACGCACCAAUGGGUUUUUGUAAAGAAAUUCCUAAAAGAAUCCCGAGAGGAACCCGUAAGGGGGCAUCCAUUAAGUACGUCACGCUUAGAGGGGGGGAGGGGGGGUUUGUGAAAGUGUGACAAGCAAUGUAUUAGGUAUAGGAAUACCCCGUACGAAGGGGGGAGGGGGUUGAAAAUUCUUAAAUUUAACGUGACGUACUUAAGGCGAAACUGGAAGCAUUUCCUCACUUUUUGGGUUUUGAUUUUUUAUUAAAUAACGAAGCAAUAUUUUCAAAAUCGGUUUUCGUGCACAUGUAGAGUAUAGAUCAGGGUAUCUCCUGAUUUUUUUUCGUGGUGGAAAAUGUUUUUCGUUUUUGCAAAAACCAUUUUUGAACAAAAUUUCACAAAAAAAUGGUUUCCGCGAAAAUGGAAAACAUUUUCCACCUCAAAAAAAAUCAGAAGAUACCUUGAUCCAUACUCUACAUGUGCACGAAACCCGAUUUUGAAAAUAUUGCUUCGUUAUUUAAUAAAAAAUCAAAGCCGAAAAAAUGAGAAAAUGCUUCCAGUUUAGCCUUAAUGGAUGCUCCCUAAAAGGAUCUCGGGAGCAAUUCUUGGAGGAAUUCUGAAGGGAUUCCAUCAAUACCCGACUAGAAAAAUAUAUCAAGUUUAUAACACCUUGUGUUAUGAUGAUAUGAAAUUUUUCUAUAACUUAUUUUGUUAUAAACUAGAUGCAGGAUGAUGUUAAAAUAACUAAAACUGUAACAAAAAGUACACCGGUCUAAUCAAAAUAAUAACCUAUUUUGUUAUAAUCAGAACAAAAUUAUAACACAAUAUGAUAUAAAUCAUAGCUUCAUAAAACUAGUUUCUAUCAUAUUUUGAUACAAUUCUGUAAAAUGAUGUUCUGAAUGUCAAAGAAUCAGAACUAAAUUAUUUCACAAUGAGUUAUUGAACAACAUUUAUAACAUAAAAUGAUACAAUUGAGUUAUAAUAUUUUCAAACACCAAUGAUGUUAAACAUGAUUAUAUCACAAUGAGUUAUACAUAUCAUGGUUUGUUAUAAUUAUGUUAUAUUGUUGUUAGAAUCUUCUAGUCGGGUAACCCUGCGUGGAAUACCGGGAAGUAUUCCAGGAGAAAUAAAAGGUGAAACCUGGUAGGAAUCCUAGGAGACAUCCAUUGGAAAUUAUCGGUAGGAAUUGCUGAAUAUUUCUUAAAUAAAUCUCUGCAGGAGGCCUUGUGUACAUAGACCAAAACAUCCGUAAUAUAAAGUACAUUUAGUGCACAUUUUUUUUGCUGGAAAUCUUUUCUACGUAUGGCUCUUUUACACUUCAACAGUAUUGUCAAAGACGCCCCAUCUUUAUAUCUCUGCCAAUUGGUACCCCCCUGAAACCUACUGAAACCUCCUGAUCCAAUUGUGAAUGCUUGAAACAUCCUUGAAACACUCUGGAAGCCUAGUGAAACAUUUUUGAAACCCCCCUUGAAUCCUCUUGAACGCUGUCUGGAACUCCUGAAAGUCCCCUUGAAACCCCUUUAAUCUCUCGAAACCCUUCGAACCGCUUCUGAAGCCCUACCCGACUAGAAAAUUGUAACAAAAAUAUAAAAUUGUUAUAACAAACUAAGAUAUGUAUAACUCAUUGUGAUAUAUCAUGUUCAACAUCCAUGAUGUUUUAAAAAUUCUAUAACUCAAUAAUAUCACAUUAAGUUAUGGUUGUGUUUUGGUAACUCUUUGUAAUAUAAUUUAGUUUUGAUUCUCCGACAUUUAGAAAACAAAGUUUCAAAACUGUAUCAAAUUUUGAUAGAAACUAAUAGGGCUGAAGCUAAAAUUUAAUAUCCCAUUUUGUUAUAAUUUUGAUCUUAUUAUAACAAAAAAUAGGUUCCCGACUAGAAGAUUCUAACAGAAAUAUAUCACAAUUAGAAAAUAAUUUUACACAAUUAUAUCAAAAUAUGAUAGAAACUAGUUUUCUUGAAGCGGAAAUUUAUAUAAUAUUGUGUUAUACACUGAAUUCUUUUUUUACACGAUCUUUUUUUACGCGGUUUUAUUUUACACGAUUUUUUUUACACGAUUUUCUCGAAAUUACGCGAUGUGUUUUUGGAAAGAUUCUUCUCUCCUGGUCGCAAUUUACUUCCGAUAGGGCUCAAAUUUCUACCAGAGAUCUCUCUUAUCAUCCUUGAUACCCUGUCAAAAUUUUAGGAUGAUCCGAUAAAAAAAGUUUUGAAAACUUUUUUUACACGAUUUUUUUUACGCGGAACAAAAAAUCGCGUAAAAACAGAAUUUAGUGUAAUUUUGAUCUUAUUAUAACAAAAUAGGUUAUUAGUUUGGUAUACUUUUUGUUACAAUUUUAGUUAUUUUAACAACAUCCUGCAUCUAGUUUAUAACAUAAUAAGUUAUCGAAAAUUUGUAUAACAACAUAACACAUUGUGUUAUAAGCUUGAUAUGUUUUUCUAGUCGGGUUAUUAUCUUGAUUAGGCCAGUGUACUUUUUGUUGCAUAUUAAGUUCUUUUAACAGCAUCCUGCAAGUAUUUUAUAACAUAAUAAGUUAUAGAAAAACAUAUUAUAACAUCAUAACAGAAUAAGAUAUAAAUUUGAUAUAAUUUUCUAGUCGAGUGUGUACACUCUUCCUGGAAGGACUUUCAAUCCCUUUGAAGCGCCCCCUUUGAAACGAAACUCCGUGAAACGUCCCUGAAACCCUGAUUUCCAAGGCGCCUCAGAGAGCUCCCGUUAAAGCUUCCCUGGACCCUCUGCAACGUCCUUAAAACGCUCCUGAAACGUCUCUGAAACACUUUGAACCAUCUGACCUUUUCUCUCAAGCUUUAUGACGGGAUCUACUAAGAAUCUGCUAAUAAAUUGAUAUUGUAUCGAAACUUUCACAAAAAUCUCGUAGAAUUGAAUCGCUUCCAAUACUUGGCCUUCUAACCGCUGGCUGCUGACAGCUUCCAACAAAUGCUAACGGAAUUCGAUACCAUCCAGUAGAGCCACCAAGAACCUGAAACGGAUACCUAGGCAUAUAUUGCAUCCGCCAAAUUAGCUCGCUUCCAGCAGCCCACAGUUGCGGAGGUAUCGAAGUGAAAACAAUGGCUGCUGAGCAAAGCAGCACGGUCUUGCAAAUCGUUACCUACCUACUUCAGGGCGAGUGUUAUAGGACGACCGAGCACAAGGCGGUUCCUGGAAUCGCAAGCAUCACUUCAAUCGGUGGGUCGGAUCGGUGUACCACAAUCGUCUUGCAGGUCGUCGUAUUCGAUAAAUUCCAACGACAAAUCUGAAUCACAGUCAGAUUUCCACACUGGAAUAAAAGCUUAUUGCGAUUUUCAUGUGGGCCAUUUUUGAAAAUUUUUCUAUAGUACUAUUACAAGUUUUAUUUUUGUGUUAAAUGUGCUAUUUUAACUUGUUAAUAUUCCCCUAGAAUUAAUGCACAUUUAUAGGGCUCUGGCAGAAUAGAGGCCAACAAUCUUAUUUCGAUUGCCAACAUUCAGGCCAUUUCGGACCGUGAUUAAGUACUAGAGAUGUAAACCUUUCCCUGGCACAGACUUCAAGUUAUAGAACUCUAGUGAUGAAACCCGAAUCUGGAUGCCCCUUAGGAUUCGAAAUUCCUAGACAAAACUCAAGCUAUGAAAGCAACUAAUGCUGCGAACAAAAGGCAACCUGCCAGAGAAAAUACGAUUACAGGAUUGACUGAUGGGCCAACAACAUUAAUGAAACCUCGUCAUCCUGCGAUUGGUAAUUGUUAUCCAAUAGGAUAACAGGGCAAAAUUCAUGUUGUGUUGUGUUUGUCCAAAUGUAAUGUCCUAAUUUAUUACGCAUUUAUAAGGUUCCACUACAAGAUGUUAUAUGUUAAUAUGCAUUUGUAGUGCUCCAUCAUUUUUUCGUAAUAAUGGCGCCCAACGUCGGCACGGGUUUUGUAGGUGUCCAUGUUAUGGCGCCCAACCGCAAAACCCACGCGGGCAUUGUAAAUAGUGUACAUAUAGCAAUAGUAUUAGAUUAGCCUUGUGUUUAGAUGUAGAAGAUUUUUCGUCGCGAUCGUGACGGAGUACGGAAAUGGGAAACUUUGCCUGUUCUGCACAACUACGUUGUGAAGCAAGUUUCCAUUUCUUUUGUGUUGAGUUUAUUUAGUUAAUCCAAGAUCGAUAAUCCAAUGAUGGAAUUUUUCUGAUCGAUUUGGAAUUUUUGUUUGAGUUUGUACUAGUGCCGCCAAGAUCGAAAAUCCAAUGAUGGAAUGUUCUGUUUGAUUUGGAAUUGAAGCCUACGUACAGUUUUGUUGUGUUUCUGGUGUAUUGCAGUAGGUCUAGCCGAACCAACUUCAAGGUCUUCUACCAGGACAGAAGAGUUUCUGUUGAAGUUGGAUGUAAGUUAUAUGUUAAAGGUACCUUUAUAUAAGUUUUUAUAUAAUUUAAGUACGUACGAAAUUUUUGUGGAUGGUUUCAUCCACAAAAAUUUCUUUUCCGUUGGGUGUGGUUGUAUUACAAGUUUUAUUUUUGUGUUAAAUGUGCUAUUUUAACUUGUUAAUAUUCCCCUAGAAUUAAUGCACAUUUAUAGGGCUCUGGCAGAAUAGAGGCCAACAAUCUUAUUUCGAUUGCCAACAUUCAGGCCAUUUCGGACCGUGAUUAAGUACUAGAGAUGUAAACCUUUCCCUGGCACAGACUUCAAGUUAUAGAACUCUAGUGAUGAAACCCGAAUCUGGAUGCCCCUUAGGAUUCGAAAUUCCUAGACAAAACUCAAGCUAUGAAAGCAACUAAUGCUGCGAACAAAAGGCAACCUGCCAGAGAAAAUACGAUUACAGGAUUGACUGAUGGGCCAACAACAUUAAUGAAACCUCGUCAUCCUGCGAUUGGUAAUUGUUAUCCAAUAGGAUAACAGGGCAAAAUUCAUGUUCUGUGUUGUGUUUGUCCAAAUGUAAUGUCCUAAUUUAUUACGCAUUUAUAAGGUUCCACUACAAGAUGUUAUAUGUUAAUAUGCAUUUGUAGUGCUCCAUCAUUUUUUCGUAAUAGUACUUUGAAACAAAAAAAAUCUGAGGAUUACAUAUCGUGUGAACUUCAUCAUGACCGUGAGAACUUCAAACCAUGUACAUUCACAUGUUAUGUAAAUUUUUGGUAUGUAACAUGUAAACUAAUUACAUUAGAUUACAUGACAUAAUCACAACUUAAAUUUACAUGACAUAAUGAAAGGAAAUCAAGUGUCUGUUACAAAACUUAAAGAAAAUAAUUAUUACAAAGUAUUAACAUUCCACAACACAUAGAACCUUACAAAUGCACAAACAAGAGACAAUACCAAUUAGAGACAGGACAACACAAAACAUAAAUGGGCCCUGUUAUCCAGAUGGAUAACAACUUCCGAUCACAGGAUGACACAACAUUAAUCAUCCUGGAAUUGUAUUUUAGUUGGCAGUUUGCCUUUUAGUUCACAGCAUUUGUUGCUGUGUUCAUAGCUUGGUUUUGUCUAGGAAAACUAAUCCUAAUCGGGCAUCUCGUUUCGGGUUUCGUCACUAGAGUUCUAUCAAUUGAAGUCUGUGCCAGGAAAAGGUUUACGUCUCUAGUAUAUUAAUCGCGGCCCGAAAUGGCCUGAAUGUUGGCAAUCGAAAUAGGGCAUCUAUUCUGCCAGAACCCUAUAAAUGUUAAUUAAUACAAGGGGAAUAUUUUCAAGUUAAAAUUCAACAUGUAACACAAAGAACGCACGAAUAUUAAACUUUGAACACAUUAAACAAUUAUUCUGUCUUAUUAAUGUAACAAAUAUUUAUACCCGUAACAUGUCUCCUGUCGUAAUUCCGUCGGUAAAUCCUAUAACAGUCAUAUGAGCAGUUUUCUCAGUGAACAAAGGGGUCGACUCGCCCUACCCCUCCUAGGAGACAAAUAUACUUUGGAAAAGCAUAUCGGCUUGUGAAAUUCGACGUUGUCUAAUCAGAUGGAAAUUGGCAGCCAUCCAGUCGUCGUCGUCGUCGUCGUCGUCGUCGUCGUCGUCGUCGUCGUCGUCGUCGGAGAUACCUAUCGACAUUCAAAUAUUUCCCAUUCGAUUGAGCGAUCCAUCCGUACGGUUCUUUUGUUUGGGAGAGAGGGAUGACACAGUGCGGAGACACCGCUGUCGGUGGUCGUGAUGGGAGUUCUAUUCACGCGAAGCGGUAUCCUUGUCAGCAGGUUUCGCUAUCACUUUUACGCCCGAUCGGGCGGGACCAAUCGACCGGAUGGUAUUCAAUGUGAUGCGACGUGAUAGAAAGUCACUUUCCUUUGCAUGUCGUGAGAUGUCGUGUGAUUUCUCUUGAAAAUCUGUCUAGAUUCUUGCUUAAUUUUUAUCUAGUAAAGCUUAUGAAGCCGGUGUUUGUUAUUUUCAGCAAAAACUACAUGGUAAACUCACGUGUCAUGCCUCGAGCAUGUGUGCUUGUCAACAGCGCAAUUUUUGCUACGCUCGUCUCUGAACUAUCAGAUAUAUGCUUUAGUACACACUUUCCAGGAUGUGUGGACAUUGCAUCUUCAGAUGAACCUGAUGCCUUUUCUAGUAGUUAUGAUUCCCUGACUUCGGCUCGGAUUAUCGUAACUAUAGAAUCGAUUUAGUGGGCACUCAAUAGCUUUGAACUUUUCAAAUCUCCUGGAGCAGAUUAAAUAUAUCCCAUUUCGCUUCAGAAGAGAUUUGAUUAGUUCAAACUAAUUUUUGAAAAAAACUUUUUGAUUGCAGUUUUGCUACAGGGUAUUUUACCAUAUCUUGGCGGGAUAUUACUAUAAAGUUUAUUCCGGAAGUGGAUCAUGCAUCGCAAGAAGAAGCACAGAGAUUGAGGCCUACCACUGUCUUUUCCUCUCGAAUGCUUAGAACAACGCAUUGUAGAUCACUACAUCCGUGAUGUUCAUCCUGGCUAACGUGCCUUUUCAUGUGAACCAACAUGUUUACUAAUCUGGAAAGUCCACUGUGAGGCUUUUACACACAACUGUUUACGAUAUCGAGAAGGCAUUCACUCAAAAGCAAUCUUCUUCGAUAUCGAGGCCACACGGAGUCAUGGUAUAUCUCCAAUGAUGUCCGAUUGGAUUUGACAAAUGCUCAAAACCCGACAUUUCUUCUCGGCAUUGCUUCAAACAGCGAUUAGGAAAAUUGAAUGUUUACGGAUGCCUCCAAGGGGGAGCCUUGUCACAACUUUUGUGGAAUCUCGUAGCAGAUACGCGAUUGAUUAAUGGCACAAAUUUCCCAAAUGGAGAAGACGGAAGAAGUUGAGGCGUUCAAUGGUUCUUACGUCCUUUUCACAUGUUGGUCUAGUAAUGUUCCGACUAUAUGGUUCUCUAGGGGAUGUUUUACCUUUAUUUUUUUUGUUGGCUGUUCAGGUGCGUAUGAGGUUGAUCAUCAAUAUCAACUUCUUUUCCCGAUCAGCAUAGAUUAUGGGUCAGGUCAAUCCAUAUGAAGUGACCGAGGAAAGGUGGAAACGUGUUAUCGACCAUCGCGAUUUUUUACCAAAUUUUGUUGGAAUGUUUGCUCAAAUGGAGGAAGAAAAAAAUGCAAGUUUUGGUGCCGAACGGAACACCCCUCGGCCCGUGGUAGCACCCCUCGUCUUUGCCAAGGCAAGAAAAAUCCAAGUUUUCCCUUCCUUUCCUUAACUUAUAGCUUUGAAACUGUAAUACAGUAAUUGACAUUCGUUUAGCCGAGGCCCAAAUUUUUUCAAAAAAGUGUCGGGAAACUCAUACAAAAGAUUUUAUGAUAAAACUUUUUAAUUGCAGUGAUAGUAUAUCUAGUACUGAUUUAUGAAUAGAUGAUACAUCACACUUACAUACAUAUACACUGAAACAAAAACGAGAGUAAAAACCCUUCUAAUGUCAUUUUUUUCCUAGACAUUCGUUUAGCCGAGGUAAAUGAAAAAUUUGUUUUUAAUAGAUUUUUUGUAAUUUCGUGAAUAUAUUUCGAUAUACCCCAAGGCAUUUAGUUUAUGACGUGUUAGCAAGAUAAUUGACUUUAAAGUUUUUUUAUUUGUGAAAUUCAAUGAUAUAUUAUAAAAAUUUAUCCCGAUAAGGAGAAACGAUGAUAAAUGAAUUUAUUUAAGGAAAAUGCUUUCUGUAAACACUCCAAUGUAAGCUAUAAUAGUUGUUUUGAAAAUAUGGCACAGAAUUAUUGUUAGAAUUGAUUAACCCUCUACAGGAAACCUUAAAUGAUGGUGCAUUACGGAAACCUGGGGUCCAUUUGGACCCCAAAUUCGUUCUCCUAUAUUGUAUGAUCCUGACUUAUUAGAAUAUCGGUGUCUUCAGUAAAGUUGUUGAGUUUGUCAAGGACUUACAGAUGCUGGACCGUUCAAUUCGCAAUUUCAUAUAUAGGUGGCGCUAGUGAGCAGGCCCGGAUUAAGGAUUGUGGGGGCCCGGGGCCGGAGCAGAUGUGGAGGCCCCUCGGGGCUACAUAUGCGAUGAGCAAGUAAGUUUUUCUUUGUUUUUGAAAAAUAAAGUUAAUGUUCAGCAAGCAAAAACGAUUUUUGUGGGGGCCCCUAAAUUGUGCCCCCCCCCCCCGGCACCCCCUUAGAUCCGGCCCUGCGUGAGCAUGUAAGUAUUGAGUAUUUGAGCACAUAUAUAUGAAGAUCCUGACCACGUAGAAUUUUGGUGUCUUCAGCAAAGUUGUUUAUUAGGUAAAGUGUUUACUAAUGAUGGACCGUUUGUUUGAAAAUUUCACACAUAGAUGGCGCUACUGAGCGUGCAAAUUUUAUAUUAAUAUAUCUUCGGCAGAGUUGUUGAGUUGCUCAAGGACUGCCAGAUGCUAAUCCGUUUGAUUCGGAACUUCACACAUAGGUGGCGCUAGUGAGCAUGUAAAUAUUAAGUAUAUGAUCACAUUUAUAUCAAGAUCCUGACCACAUAGAAAUUUGGUGUCUUUGACAAAGUAGUUUAUAGGGUCAAGUGAUUACUAAUGAUGGACCGAUUGUUUGAAAAUUUCACACAUAGAGGGCGCAACUAAUCGUGCUUAUUUUAUAUUUCAUAUACAUAUAAGGAUCUUGAGCACCUAGAAAGAUGAUAUCUCCGGCAAAGUUGUUGGUUACAGGUGAUGUACCGUUUGAUUAGGAACUCCACGUAUAGGUGGCGUUACUGAGCACGCAUAUUUCAUAUAUCUUAUAUAUCGCAGGAUUCUUAUCACUUCGAAAGAUGGAGUCUUCGGAAAAGUUGUUGCGUAGGCCAAGUACUUACUGACCAUGGGCCGUUAAAUUUGGAAAUUCGCCAUACGUAGAUGUCAUUGGUCAGCAUGCAAAUUGUAUAUGUCAUAUAUUUCAGGUUUCUGAGCUCAAAGAAGCAUGGAGUCUUCGGCAAAGUUGUGGGGUAGCCCGAGCAGAGGGGAAUAUCAAAUUAAUAACUACGAAAUUACAAAACCUGUUUUUAUAUCUCGUUUUGUUAUUAUUGUAUUAUCAAGGCAUUACAUUUCCAUAACAUGUUUUGUUGGACAAUCUUAUUUUGUUAUGAUCAAGCUAUUGGUAUACAGUUUGUAUUUUAACUUAAAUGCUAAUUCUACACUCAAUUAUUGGUAUACAGCCAUUAAAUAACAUUUCAAUAUUACAUUUUGUUGUGGAACAAGUUUGAUUAUUAUUGUAUUAUUGAGAGUGUACAAAUACUUUAUGCUAUCCCAAGGAACAGAAGUAACUGAACAACAGAUUCUUAAGCUAAAGUUUGCUUAAGAAUUGUUGAUUCCAUUCUUAUACAGCAAAAAUGUAUUUAAAAUGUAUAUAUUUAAAAUGUAUAUUUUUAAUGGCACAAAUGUCCCAAAUGAAGAAUAACGUGCCUCUGGAGCCGGCCUUCUGAUACGUCAUUCAACAACGUUAUUUACAGUAUUUCGCGAGUUAUGCUUCAGAAAUAUUUUAUUUAUUUAUUUAUUUAUUUUCAACUCUAAAUUUGGGAAGAGGGAAAACCCCCUUUGAGUGAUUUCGAAAACUAUGCAUGAAAUCGUUCUCAAAAAUGCACAAAACCUCUUAUCUUUUUGAAAAACAUUAUAAACAAUAUUUAAAGCUAAAUAAAGGCUCUUCCGGAAAUAAUCCAUAGCUGAGCCGUAAUCUUGAAAAGAAUUCGUCAAACGAUGAUAAUGAUCCGAGGUACUCUGUAUGGGGACCGAAAUUCGAAUGCUGAAAAUAUAAGAGAAAUAUUUUAUAUUUUCUCAUGUUUUCCUUGUCGUUCCAGAGGAUGAAGUCGGAUCUACCUAUUUGUGGUAAAAGAUUACAUGAAUAGUUGAAAAUACGCCUAUGAGGGAAGAGAGAAACUAAAGUUCGCAAUGAUUGUUCCGCCAUUCUCACAUGCAAGUCUAAAUAUGUGUAGUAUUCUCAGCCAACACGAAGUCAUAUAUGAUGUACACAGAUCGAAAAAAGAAUGUAAAAUUCUGUGACAUUUGAUGCACAUGUUUGGAGCGUGGGAUAUCACAGAAGUUUACAUGAUAUAUCUUGUAAAAGUCAUAAAAUAUCAUGUAAACUUCCAUUAUAUGUCAUGUAAUUCUUCAUGACUCUGAGUUUUUACAUGGCAUAUAACACAAAUUCACAUGAUAAAUCAUGUAAACCAUCAUAACACUAAGUUUACAUGACUAAAAUGAAGUUUACAUGACGUGUAAAUCUCAUUAUUUUUAUCUGUGUAGAAAAGGAUGCUAAUGUGGAGGCCAUAUGAGUACAUGAUUUCAUUUAACCACGGGUAAAGUGUACGCAUAUCGCCUCCACUUUAGCAUCCUAUUCAACAGCAUGUGCGAUUGUUCGAUAUCAUAACUAAUUUUGCUUUCGGGAUGUUAUCAUUAACUCUUUAAUAUCAAAACUUGUUCUUGAAAUAUUUCCAAAAUUCACUGUUAUUAAGUUGUUAUUGACACUAACAAAACAUGUUAUUAAAUUGAUUUUCCAGGAACAAAUUUUUGUUAUGUGACUUGUUAUUUUGCCGCUUAUGACAGACAAGUUUAUAACUCAAUAUGUUAUGUUAAUAACAUAAAAAUAACUAAUUCCAUUAUGCAGAUAUUUUGCCAAAAUAACGCAUUUUGUUAUGCUGUUGUUAUUCUCUUCUGCUCGGGAGAUCAACGACUUACAGUUGAUGGACCGUAUAAUUCGGAACUCCACAUGUAGGUGGCGGUACCGAGCAUGCAAAUUAAAUAUCUCAUAUAUCUCAGGAUUCAUUGCCAUACCUUUCAGGUUUACCCAUUUUGCUGAACAAGUUACUUUUUGCGUCGUGGUUCAUGCUGUGAUAAUAAGUACAAUUUAUGUGUGGGUAUAUGUGGGUAUAUGGCAUCGUCAAACAUACUCGAUGGUGUGACAUACUGUUUAAGCAACAGAGAGAGCUGCGCUGGAGUUGUAGUAGUAAGCGUGAUUAUCUCGCACCCCAGAUGGUCUAGGUUCUCUCGUAAUUUGUGAGACAAAAAUAUCUGUUCACGUCUUCAUUUGUAUGUACAGCCGUUGGUCUCGGCCCAUGUUUUGAUGGGUUUGAAAUGUAGAGUGUCAUGUGUGUGUGGGCUUAGUACCAUAAAUAGGCGGAAGUAAAACUAUAACUAAUGCCGAACGGUGCGCCAAUAUAUUUCAGCUGAGUCAAAUGUUUUUCAAAGACCAAUAUUUUAGUCAUUUAUGUACACAAUUUGAUUUCAUUCGAUUCCUGAGAUGUAGCAGUUUAAUAAACAGUUAUGAAAUUAGAAUUAUUCUACUAGCAACACUCCAACUUUGGGUUGAGUCAACCAAUCAAGCCCAAAAAAUGUACCAAUUAUAGCUAACCAGUUGGGAAACCUGCAGUCAAAAUUUGAGAGUUUUUGGUGCAUUCAAUAAAAAGUUACAGCUUGUUGAAAAUUUUCUAGCCCAUAAUAAAAGUUUGCAUGCUCAUGCAAAUUUACAACUAGCGCAACCUAGUGGCAGAAACUCGAAUCAAACAAUAAUUCCAAUGAAAGCCCUUGAUCUACCACACAAUUUUGCCGAACACACCAUAUUUCCAAAUCAUUAGGAUCCUGAGAUAUGUACAAUUUGAAAUUUGUUUGCACUCAAGAGCCGUCUAGCGGUGGAAUUCCGAAUCAUACGUACCAUCAUCUGUAAGUCCUUUACCAACCAAACAGCUUUGCCGAAGACACCAAAGCUCCAUGUAGUCAGGGUCCUGAGAUAUAAUAGAUUUAAAUUUCGUUACUAUUACAUCUGUUUGUCUGUGAUUUCUGUGAUGUCAAAGACAAGUAGACGUAACACUGACAAAAUUUCAAUCCCAUAUAUUUAGAGAGUUGGUGUUACGGCAAAGUUAUUCAGCUGCUCAAGAACUUUUCGAUGAUGAGCCGUAUGAUUAGAAAUUCUACCACUAGGCGGAGCUAGCGUGAGAACAAAUUUUAAAUUUUACAAAUCUCAGGAUCCUGAUUAUUUAGAAAUAUGGUAUCUUCGGUAAAGCUGUUAGGAAGAUCAAGGACUUUCAGUUGAAUUAUUAUUUGGUUCUAGUUUCUGUCAUUAGGUGGCGCUAGUAGCAAAUUUACAAAAACCAUAGAAAUUUUAAUGAUUAGCCAGAAAAUUUUAAACAAGCUAUAACUUCUUAUUAAGUACACCAAAUUUCACUGCAGUCCAAUAAACUACUAUAUCUUACGGUUAAGUUAACCAAAUUUAAUGAAAUUUUGAAAAUGUAUGAUUAAUAAACUGGUCUUUGAUUACCAUUUGACUUGACUCAAAUUUGUCUGAAGGGAAUAAAGUUACAGCUUGUUGAAUACAUUUUGUGAAAUUCUAAUAAUUUGCAACCUAUUUGUAACCUAUUUGUAACUAAAUUUGUAACUAGCUUCGCCUAGAGAUGAAAUUUUGCAUCAUCAAACUGUAAGCCCUUAACUUACCAAACAGUUUUGCCGUGGAAACCAUCUUUCUAAGUAACCAGCGCCCUGAGAUUAAAAAAAAUACUGAUGCCACCUAUGAGCAAAAUUCAGAGUAUAACGACUCAUCACAAUUUAAUUUUUACAGUUGCACUGACGUAAGAACUACACGACACACAUAACACGCGGCGCGAGACAAGACAUAACACUUAUCGUUCUUACAAUCGCCAAGAAAAGAUUAAAAAUUACCUUUACGUCGACUGGUUUCGGGCGUGAUCUAGCCCAUCUACAGGACAAUGUUAUGUGUAACGACUCAUCAUUUAUAAGUUCUUGCAACUUAUUUGCAGAAUCUUCAAUUUUACUAAAUAAACUGGAUCCUGAUGUAUAAAUGAUUCAAAAUGUGUAUACUCACUAGCGUCACCUCUGACACUAGAGGUUCGAAUCAAACGGUUCAUUAUCUGUAAAUUCUUUACCUACCAAACAUCUUUGCUGAAGAUAGUAGAGACGGUAAUAACUCUCUUAGGAUCCUGGGAUAUUUGAAGUAUAAAGUGGCGCCACAUAUGUUUGGAUUUCCGAAUCAAAUUUUGCAUCAUCUGUAAGUUCUUGACCUAUGAAACAACUUUGCCGAACACACCAUCUUUCUAUGUGAUCAGGAUCUUGAGAUAUAGGGGAUAUAAAAAUUGCAUGCUCACUAGCGCCACCUAUGUGUGGAGUUUCAAAUCAAACGGCCCAUCAUCUGGAAGUAAUUUACAAACACAACAACUUUCUCGAAGGCGUCAUCUUUCUAAGUGGUAAGGAUCCAGUGAUAUAUGAGAUACAAAAUUUACAUGCUCACUAGCACCACCUAGGGGUGGAAUUUCGAAUCAAUCGGUAUAUUAUCUGUAAGCGCUUGACUUACUGAACAACUUUCCCGAAGACGUGACGUUUCUACAAGCUCUAGAUCUUCCGAUAAUUUCGUUUGAAGACAUUAUAUUACUAAAUUGUUAAUGCCAAAUAGCGCCAUCUAGUGGGGAAAUUUCGAAUAACCCAAUUCACCGCCAGAUGGCGCAUGACUUACCGAACAAAUUUGCCGAAGACAUGAAUAUUCUAAAACAUCAGAAUCAAAAGAUAUAGAGAAUUCAAUCUGGGGUCCAUAUGGACCCCAGGUAUACAAAAUCGCCCGGUUCAAAUUUGACAUGGAAUAAACAUCAAAGUAUGCCAUGAAAUCAACUUUAUUUUUGCAUAAACAAUAGAACUAGGUCUAGUUUGACGGUAUUGAAAAAUUAAAGUCAAUACACUGAAACCUCCAUUUAAGUCGAUGCAUGGCUGAUCGAAAAUAUUUUUUACCGUACAGGCAAUGACUAAACUAUACAGUUUUAUAUUUUUUGACAGAUCUCCUUUGUCAUGCGAAGUGUUAAAAAAUAUAAAAGUCUUCAGUUUUGUCACUGUUUGUACGGUAAAAAUUAUUUUCGAUCAGCCAUGCAUCGACUUAAAUGGAGGUUUCAGUGUAUGUUAUACCCAACUUGUUUGCCAUUACUCCAAAGUUGCCUGGGGUCCAAAUCGAACCCCUACCCAUAGCAUUGUACGGUUUUACGCUUGGUGACGCUAACCGCACGGCCACAAGGGUCCACAAAAUAAACUUCCUAAACAUUCUUUUAUGAAUUCCUGGAGGAAUCCUUAGAGAAAUUUCUAGAGGUACACUGGGAGGAAACCCUGAAGGAAUCUCUGGAAGAAUGUCUUCCAGCUUUUCCGUAAAAAUCCUUAUAAGAAUCUUUGAAAGACCCUGUAGACAAAUUUCUGAAGGAAUCCUUGGAGGAUUUUCUAGGACUUUCUUAAUAAAUCCUUGGAGCAAUUUUUGGAAGAGAAAUGACUUGAAGGAAUAUCUAAAGGAAUGUGAAGAAAUCUUGGGAAUUUCCUUUACAAACUCUUGUAGAAUUUCCAAAGCAAUCCCUGGAGAAAAUUCUUUAGAGAGCUUCUGAGAAAAUUUUGAAGGAGUUCUGCAUUUAUGAUUGUUAAUGUAUCCGUGAAUUAUUUUCUAAAAAAAUCCAUGGAGUAUGCUUGAUAAACUUCAUGAAAGAUUUUCUAGAUUUAUGCUUCGGAAAAUUUCUGAUUCCUCCAUGUAAAAAAACCCGAAGAUGUCGUAGAUGAAUUUCUGGAACAAUCUAUGCAAGAAUUUUUGAAAAGAAUUCUUGAAGUAUUUUCAAAAGGAAUCCAUGCAACAUUUUUGGAAGCUAUCCGUGAAAGACUUUCUUAAGGAGUUCUUGGAAAAAAAUCUGGAGAACAUUCUAAAGUCUAAAGGAAUCCCUAGAAGAUUUUGUGAAAGAAUUUCUGACUGAAUUACUUUAGGAUUUCCUAGAUUAUUUUUUAAAGUAAAUCUACGAGGAGUUUCCAAAGGAGUCCCUGGAAAAAUUUCAUUAAGAAUCUCUGGGGGAAACUCGUGGAAGAUUUUUAAAAUUAAUCAUAGGAUGAAUUUCAGCAAGCGUCCAUGAAAGAAUUAUUGAAAAAUCUGUGAAAGUUUUUACAAAGUAAUCCUUGGAGAAAUUUGUAAAGAAAUCUGUAGAAAAAUCUGGAGAUAUUUCUGAAGUAAUUAUUAGACAAAUUUAUAAUAAAAGCCAUGGAAGAUUUUCUGAAACAAUCCCUCGAAAAAAAUGCGAAGGAACCCCCAGGGCAGUUGCUAUAGGAAUCUCUGCAGAAAAUUCCCGAAUGGAUCUCACAUUGUUUUAGAAAGAGUCCCUGGAGGAAUUUCUAAAGAAAUCCCAGGAAGAUUUCCUGACGGAAAUUGUUAAACUUGUGGAGGAAUUCCUGGUGGAAUAUCUGGAUUGGAAGUUGCUGAGAAAUUUCUGGUGAAACCGUAACACCAAAGUAACUCCAGUACACAUUUUUGAAGGAACUUUUGAAACAUUUUCUGAAAAAUCUGUAAUAGUUUCUGAAGUUUUAUUGAAGAAAUCUCUGUAGAAAUUUCUGAAUAAAUGUCUAAAGAAGGAAUCUCUGAACGAAUUUUUGAAAGAAUUCCUGGAGGAAUUUCUGCUCAAAUUCAUGGAUAUUUUUUGGAAAUAAAUGGAUGAAUUUCUGAAGUAGAUCACGCAAGAUGCUUUGAAAGAAUUCUUUGUGAAAUUUGUAGAAAAGGAGGAACUUCUAAAGAAAUCCCUGAAGAAAAUUUCCGAAUGAAUCCAUGGCAGAUUUUAUUGAAAUUGAGGGAAUUUUUGAUCGAAUGCACGAACAAAUUUCAGAAAGAUUUUUUUAAGAUUUUUAAGAAGAAUUUCUAAAGAAAUUUUUGGUAGAUUUUCCAAAGGAAUCUCCAAUACAUUCUGCAAACGAAUGCCUAGAAAUAUUUCUGAAGUAAUCCCUGGGCGAAUUUCUCAAACAAUCUCUGAAAUGAUUUAUGAAAAAUCAUGGAGAAAUUGGAGGCGAUUCAUGUCAGAUUUCGUAAAAGAAUUCUUUGUGACACUUCUGGAGGAACACAUGGAAGAAUUUCUGAAAUAAUUUGUAACAUGAUGAUUUUAUUUGGGAAGUUUUGAAAAUUCUUAGAUCACUUACUUUUAUUUGACACCGCAGAAUUGCAACAAAAGGACCGAGCAGAUAGCGGUUCAAACCUACACUACUCGUAUAGAAAGAACAUUCGGCAAAUACAGCACAGUAAGCAUUAAUCACACUCUAUCCAGUGCUUGUCAUUAAUUUCUAAAUUUCCGAAGAAACUCCUUCAGGCAUUUCUGAAGGGAUUCCUGCAGGAAUUUCUGAAGCAAUUCGCUAAGGAAAAUUUUUGAAGCAAUUCGUAAAGGAAUUCCAGGGUAAAUCCUCGGAGACAUUUUCAAAGGAAUCUCUGAAUGAAUUUCUGAAACUUUUGAAUUUCUUGGGACAUUUACGCAAAUAACGUUAUUGUGUAUUAUUAUUGUUGGCUUUUGAAUCAACCAUACAUAUUUUUGGAGACAAGAGAUUUCGAUCGUAACAAGCUAGCGAGAUAGUGGUUUAAUCGUUAUUUAGCGAGAAUUACUAAUACAAUACCAAAAACUCCGAUCCUUUUAUCGAAAACUCAGUGUUCAUGCAGUUUUUGUAUGUUUUGGUACAUUUUGGUAUGCAAUUUAAAUUGCUUCAAUUUUAUGUAAAAUUCGAUUUUAUAGACAUUUCGAAAAUUGAAAUGUCCACUAAAUCGAGAUAUACCUGUAUUCGUUUUGAAUAUAUGCUUCAAGUGUUCAUUUUAUUUUAUCAGAAACAAGCUGUCCCGGCAAACGUCGUACUGCCUGCAUACAGUGUUUAUUGUAUGGGAGCCCCCCUUCCCAGAUAUGGGUGGAGUCUCCCACCAUGCUAAAAACUUUCCCCGGUCCUAAAAAUCCUUGCAUAGAAAUUUUCACGCCAAUCGGCCCAGUAGUUUGCGAGUCUAUAAGGGUCAGACAGAAAGACAGACAGGAAUUCAUAUUUACAUAUAUAAAUUGAUAUACUCAUAGUUGAAGAACUGGCAACACUGUCAUAUUUUCUUUUGCAUGUUCUCUUGAAAGUGUCAAAAGUAUGUAAAACAGUUUUUUUUUUACAAAAUCAUUGCUAUGUUUGGCAACACUUACGUAAAAAUAAUGUUUCAAUAGAAAGAACAACAAUCAAAAUGAGGAUCUUGAUAGAUACAUUUUGAACUUCAAAUAUUUAUUCUUAGCCAUUACAUAUAAUUGAAAAACUGGCAACACUGUCACAUUUUAUUCAAACACUUUAAUGCACUUUGGUCUAAAUCAGCCCAAACCAUCUUUAAAUUGCUUCGAAUAAUGUUUUCUUAGCGAAACUUGUAAGUUGAACCAAUUUUAUAUAUUAAAGAAAAACGUUUUCCAAGCUUAAAAACGCUGUAUCUCUGGAACGGCCCAAUAGACCUCGGAGAGUUAAGCUGCCGAGGAAUGAAUGGUUAUGGAGGUCUUAUGAAUCGCAAACGGAGCCUGUGAGAAAGCCGGGGCGCCCUCCACAGUAUUUUGCCCUUACAGCGCUAACUGGAGCCAUGACGUAGUGAGCCUUGUGUUUCUCCGAAACAAUCAGCUGCCCUUCUUCAGCUUCAAACUUGAUGCUGAAUAAAAGCGUGAUUAUAAAGAUGUCAAUGGUUAGUUUUGAUUUUCACCUAAAUGGUUUCCCAUUAUGCGAUUUACAUCGCGUAUUCUGUGUAUCCUCGCUUUUGCCGUUUUCCAAUCAAUACAAUCUGGUUGUAUUGUAUUCUAGUAGAGCUAUGUAAAAUGGUACAGCGAACGUGCCUUUAGUAAGAGGAAUUUUUAUAUAGUAAAGCAUGUAAACCCGGUGUUUGAUAUUUUCAGCAAAAAUUAUAUGGUAAACUCGCAUGUCAUGCCUCGAGCAUGUGUGCUUGUCAACAAGGCAAUUGUCGCUACGCUCAUCUCUGAACUAACUACCAGAUAUGUAUGUGCGCUAUCGCAAUUGACGUUUCUAUUGCGAAUCUCAGCAGGAAAUACUUCUAUUGUUCGGUUUAUUUACCGCACGCUAAACCAUCCGCUACGGAUGAUUUCCAACAAGUUAUCGCAUACUGCCCUUCAAAAGACCUUCCGCUAAAUGUUGGCCUUUGUGCAAAUGUUUCCAGUUUGAGCGAAGCCAGUCGGAUGAGCAAAAUUCUUGCGAAAUUUACGGAAUUCCGAGUAAACGAACUUCGUUUGCCAAAUGCCGGUUUCACUACCUCUGAUAAGGAAUAAGUUCUGGAAUGCUUUCUUUAGUACACACUUUCCAGGACGUGUGGACAUUGCAUCUUCAGAUGAUUCUGAUGCCUUUUCUAGUAGUUAUGAUUGUCUGACCUCGGCCAUAUUGGAAGCCGCACGGAGUCAUGGUAUAUCUCCAAUGAUUUCCAAUUCGAUUUGACAAAUGUUCAAACCCCGACAUUUCUUCUCGACAUUGCGUCAAACAGCGAUUAGGAAAUUGAGUGUUUGCGGAUGCCUCCAAGGGGGAGUCUUGUCACAACUUUUGUGAAAUCUCGUAGCAGAUACGCAAUUGAGGCAACUCAAUAAUAGCGGUUUAUUAUAUGGUGUUGCCCUCGACUACAUAAUGGCCCCAAAUUGAGAAGAACGGACCUCUGGAGCUGACCUAAUGAUACUUUACGUUUUUACACAGAAAAUUUAUAGCUGAACACAGCUUAUUUCAAUUUAAAGUUUAUUUACCACGAAGGUUUAAUCACAUUCCCGUUCACAAUUUCCCCGUUUUGUUCCCGGUGCAUAUUGAAACCUCGAAAUGGGGCCGAGAACAGCCUCCCCCGGGGGCUAUUAUUUGCACAGUUAACGAAUGCGAACUGAAAGGUAUUUAAUUAACGAGCCUCCAUCACAAUGCAAUAUGGGUGUGGGCCCAGCAGAGGACCAUCCGCAGUUACCACCACCGCUCAGACAAAAUAAAAUUAAUACUCACAGGAAAUACCACCACCGCCACCACCCUACUGGGGGUGUGUUGUGUGGUGUAACGUCGCGGGAAAACAUGCCGGGAACGUAAUUUUUUUCGAUUUUUCAUUAAACGCAGUCGGUAAUCGGAGAAAUUGAGGAUGAUUUUUUUUUGUUGCGCUAAAGCUGAUAAUAAUAACUAUGGAUUGUGUCAGGUAUCAUGUGAUUUAGUUUACUGGAGCUUGCUCUCCUUUAAAUGUGGAACAACGGUUCCGGGUCAUUUGGCCGAACGCCAUUUGGUCGAAAGGAUCAUUUGGCCGAACGCCGUUUGGCCGAAAAAGGUAUGUUGAACUUAAGUGAUGAUGCCAUUAUUCCGUAUAUCAGUAUAACUCAAAAGAACAGCCCAAGGGGCCUGCAACUCUAAACUUUCCAAUAAAUUUACUAUUUGUCUCAAAAUAGUACCGCGCAGUAUUUCUAGUAUCACUGAAAGUUUAGAAUCUAAGUAGCGGUUGUUAUGGACAUCCUACUAGCAUCCGACUAGUCAGAAGCUUAGCUCUCACUUGGUUAGUUCCAAUCUAGGAUCCUAGGUUCCAAUUAGUUCAGCGUAGAUUCUAAUAUUUUUCUAUUGAAAUUACGGUAAGUAACAGUCCUAGAAUGCGAUGCUGAUAUAGUAAUGCAUUUGAAUAAUUGUACAAUUCAUUUAUUUGGUAGCCAAUCUGGUAAGCAGGUCAGACCUUCUACCUUCUUUCCAUUUUUGAGAAAUGAGAAGAACACAAACUACGAGACUGCUCAAAUUCGAGGACUAAAUGGUGGACCUGCUGUGAAAACUUAGCUAUCGAAAAUAUGAAUUUCUUAACGUUUGGAUUAGGUGAUUACGGAGAGCAGGAAUUGUGAUACGAAUGUUUCAAAAACUGUAAUGUACAGUAUAUUAUCAAUCAAUUGUUUUCAUUGGUUUUUCAUUUUUUCACCACAACUAACGAAAUAAGAAUUUUAUUUUUAUCAAUGCGUGUGUUUUUUUUAGCAAGCGUGCGUAGGUCUUACGGUAAAAAUGCCUCACUUGUGCCCACCCAGUACCAUGGGCGUAGCCAGAGGGGGGCAGGGGGCAAGCAUCGCCGAAUUCCUCCAGGAUUUUUUCCAUAGCUUCCUUCAGUGAUUCCAUCAUGGCUUGCUCCAGAGAAUUUUUCAAGAAUUCCUCAAUGGGUUUCACCAGACAUUCCUCCGGGAAUUUAUCCUGGGAUAUCUGUAGAGGUUCUCCAGUGAUUGUUCCAGUGCUAUUUUCGAGAAUUUCUCAAAGAAUUUCUCCAGGGAUUCCCAAAGGAAUGUCAACGGAAAUUCUUUUAGGUAUUUCUCCAUAUAUUUUUUCAAGAAAUUCACUACAGAUUGCUUCAAUAAUUCAAUCCGAAAUAAUUCGAAGUAUUAGUUUGAAGUAAAGCCUGUAUCCGCAAUAAUCGGGACACAGAAAUACACCUGUAACUCUGCAAUAGAUACAUUAAAAUUGCUCAAAUUUGGCCUAAUAACAUCUUGAGAUGUGUUCAUUUCACCUACAAAAUUUCAUGUGGAUCGCUGCAGUGCUUUUUGUUGUAGCGAUGAAAGAGUGAAAUGUGCGCCAUUGAAUUUUGUACAGACCCUAGUUUUGCUUGCCAGCGCUGUAACUUUUGAAUUUGGCGAAGAAAAUGGCUGAAAUUUUGAACACAAACCUCUCAAUCUACAUUUGUUGCUUAGGCAAAAUUUCAAAAAAAUCGAUGCACUAUCAACAAUUUUAUAGUCGAAACAUGUGUUGGGACUGAACGUGAUUUUAGCUCCUCAGACAGAAAACAGUCAGCACCCUUUAUUGUUUCGAUUGUACUAAUGAAAGUACUAUAUCAAUAAUCAUCAAAUUUUGCCGGCAUAAUAUACACGUAAUCAACUAUCUUCUGUAAAAAUUUCAUGAAAAUUGGCAGAGAAAUUCAAAAGUUAUGAAUAGGUAAACAUCACACAUGAAAAACACGAAAAUUUUUCACUAACACUCACCCCUAUCAACACCAGUAACAUUCAAACCAAUUGAUCAACGUUGAUGAAAUUUUGCAAGAAAGUGUCUCUAUAAGUAUCAUAACUGCUAACGAAAUUUUAUAAUUAUCAUCACAGAACUUUGAACUCUAGCGUAAAAGAACCAUCUAUUAAGGGAAUGAAAAUUGGUCAUGAUUGUACAAAAUGCUUAAAACCACGUCUGUUUGUUUUUCAUCCACAGUUAAAAGUAAUGCAUCGAUUUUUAUGAAAUUUGGCUCACAUAAUAAACAUACACCAAAGAGUUCUUGGCCAAUGAUUUGGCAAAUUUUACCGAUUCAUUACAGAGCUACAGCCGUACCAGGGUGUCCAUUCAAACUCAGUUUUCCGAUUCCCGGAUUUUUCCCGGGUAUGUACAAACUUCCCGGGUAUGAAUAAACGCAAAUUAUUCUAGUUCUAGUAGGACACUACUCAGUUCAUUUUUAUACAGAGUUAUAGCUUGGUGUAUAACUUGAUACAAAUUAAAAAAAAAUCCUAAUUUCAAACAUUUUGACUAAAAAAACGUUAGUUUCCCUCCACACAAAAUUUAGGAUGGAAGUCUGUAGAAAAGGUCAUUUCUAUAAUAAGGAAAAGGAAUCUAUGUAUAUGAGAAUAUUAUUGAAAUCAAUCACUGUGCCUGAGUUUUUCGUGAAAUUUUUGGACAAUUUCAAAGCAAAUUCGGUAGAAAAAAUAUCGAAACAUUUUCGCUAGAAUUUUUGGAAAUCUCCAUGUAAAUUUUUGUACUGCUUCCAUCGUUGUUUUAAACAAUUUACUUGCUGAAUCCAAAAUCUUUUGAAACCGUUUUUUUAGAUGUUUUUUAGAAAAAAACUGUUGAGUUCUUAAUUCUUCAAUAAAAUCCAGAACAUAGAACAUUUCUUCCUUAGGGAAAUACUCGGUACUGCCAAAAAAUCUCUUACAAGUUACAUCUACAACUUUUAAAAAGUUUGCAUUAUAUUGCUGUAAAAAUAUCAGGGAUUCUUUAGGAUACUCUUCCGGGGAUUCGAAUGAUGCUUUCAGAAAGUCACAUUUUCUCGGUAAACUAUCAAACAUUGCUUCACAGAUUCCGUUGAAGAUUCUUAUGUGGAUUCUGCUUCUGAACUCAGGAAAUUUCUUAACAGAAAGUCUUUCAAGGGUAGCUUUUUUGGGAAAUUCGCUAUAAUUUCCUGUGCUAUAGUCUCUCUUCAGAUUUUGUAUUCGAUUGUUUUUUAGGAGCGCAAAACUCUGUUCAGAAGCGAAUAGGUAUGAUUUCGCUGUAAAUCCCGUCAGGCAUUUUUCAAGAAUUUUCUCCUUGACUUUUUCCAAAGGGAUCAAAUUUAAGGAAUCUGGCAUAAAUUGUAGAGUUCCACUAAGAAUGUCACCAGAAACUGACAAUUUUUUUCAAACGUUAAAAUCUCUAUGCCGGAAGUAACGUUUGCAGGUUUACCGAGUUUUUCAGGAAUUCUGAGAGGGCUUUCGUGGACUUCUUCGGUAUUUUUGCUAGAAUCCUGCUGUCAAAAUAUACCUAGCAAGACUUGUCCUUCCAAAAAUCUUGAAUUACGCCUAAGAAGUAUUUAGAUUUCAUUUACAUAAAUUAAUCGAGAUCCAACAGAAAUUUCUAAAAUUCCUGAGAGGCUGCCUGUCUAAAAAAAUAGCCAGCCUGCAACUUUGUUAAUGUUCGCAUCAUUCCAUUCAAGACUUUGUUGUAACUAAUACAGUACAGACAGACACCAUAAAGAUUUUUCCCGGUGCCUUUUAUAAUUUCCCGUGUUUUUCCCGUAUUUUUCCCGGUGAUUUCUAAUUCCCGGGUUUUUCCCGGUUUUCCCGUAUUUCCCGGAUGGAUGGACACCCUGCCGUACUUCUGUGUCCCGAUUAUUGCGGAUACAGGCUUUACACUCCCGUUCAAAAGUUUGGGGUCACUCCCUCAAAAACAUGUCAUUUUUUUAGGCCCAUAUCUCCGCCAAUUUGCGUCCGAUUUCAAAACCCUAGGUUUCAUUCAAAAGAUAAUAAGUCAAAGAAACUUUGAACAUGAUUUAAAAGAAACUUUUUCAAAAAAUUUUGUAUGUAAACCUAACCCAAAGUUGCCAAAUUUUCUAAAAAAUGAAUAUAAACUUACGGCAGUGUCGCUGAAAGUUGCGUCGACCAAAUUUUUAGAUGAGAGCGGUAAUAUGACCCAUUUUCUAUUAGCUUUCAACUGCUUUUUUACAGAACUUAGCUAAAAAAUCUAGAAAAAAAGUUAUUAAGUAAAUUAAUCCUUGGAUUCUAUACCAUUACCCGGAAAACCAUUACCCGGAAUGCCAUUUACCGGAAAACCAUUUACCGGAAUGUAGUAUUUACCGAAAGACCGUUUACCGGUAUGUUCUAUUUACCGGAAACAUAUUCAUUCUCAAGUAACACACUUGCCACAGAACAGUCACGGUGGCGCAGAUUUUUGUUGCACAGAAGUCAUGUUGACUUACUUCUAGCAAGUAGGUAUUUAUAUGUUAGAAGUAAGUCACAAUGACUUCUGCGCAACAAAACCCUACGCUGCCGUGACUUUUCUGUGACAAUUAUGUUACUUGGAUCGUCUACCCCCCUUGGUUUGAAUGACACCUCAUGCAAACCAACGGAAUUCAUUUUUAAUUUGAACUUGUAGUAACUCUGUGGGGCAUCGAAAAACACACUAAUGGAAAUCUUUUUUGUUGUUUUGUUUUGAUUCUGUGUCUCGUUUCACCCCGAUCCCUGAGCAAAAUGACGUUUGAACAAUUUGAACAAGAUUAGCGAGAGUCAACCUAAAAAUUGAUCAGAUGAGAUGCGGUCAUACUAACGGGGGUGGGCGGUACUAAAAUGUGCAUGUUCAAAAAAAAAGUGAAAACUGACCGAAAACAGGCUUCGAAAGAACAGCCUGUUGCUAGAAGAAGGGCAAAUAUCUAAGAGUGACAUAAACAGUAUGUUAUUUAAACAAUUCUGUAUUAGGCUUAGUUGAGAGAACAACACAUUUUAAAAAAGGAAACAUAUCAGACAAAGUUAAUAGUUUCGCUAAUCAAGUUUGCAGCGAGCAACUUGAUACAAUUAAAGCAGGGCAAAACUCUUACAUAAAAAGCAGCAAAUUUCAAUAAACAAUAUGGUAACCAAACGCUCUAUAACAAUUUAAGUCAAAAGAACAGCCCAUUUUUUUAAGAAGGAGAAACACUAGAUGGAAUUAAUAGAUUGGCCGCUAACCAACUAUGUAACAUUAAAUCGUUAGAAAGAACAGCCUAUAAUUUGAAGAAGGGCAAAUCUCCUAUACAGUAAACAGUUUGACUGCUAAUAAACUUCGUAAAUGAACCUAGAAGAACAAGUUUCGACGAAAAUGAAGAAAAUGUCAUAUGAAAAAGCUACAGUUUCGCUGCCAGCCUAAAAAUGUUCAUUCAGCUUAACGAUGCUAACUCUACCUUGCUAAGUGAACUGCACCGAGAAUUUAGUUCUAGUUCUAUAUUCGUGAAAAAAAUAUUCAGAAUAUAGUUUUAAGGCUCAACUCAACCAAAUUAUUCCAUAUAGGAAACAAAAUAUCGGGUAAUGUUUAAAGACACCAAAACAUCUUUUGAGAUCUUAGGUUUUCCUACGCCUUUCCAGGAAAUGGAUUAUUUCGGGAAAUGGGGCAGUUCGGAAAAUUGUUUUUCUAAGAAAUUCAUUAUUCCGGAAAAUGUCCUUCCGUGAAAUAAUUUGAACUGUUCGACCAUAUCAGUAAACCUAGAAAGAACAGCCAUGUUAAAAGAAGGGAAAACAUCUGCUGGAAAUAUUAGCAAUCACAUUCAGCACAUUAUUUAUAAACACGUAGAUCCACAUGUAAGUAACUAUAAACGAUGACAGCUCUGUCGAGUUACUAAUUUACUGCUAAUCAUAAUUAGGCGAAACUAGUGUUCAUCUAAAUGACCGGGUCAUGGUUUGGGUCAAAAGAUGACCAGUGCAAAAGGCAUGUGAUCAAAUGUCUGGAUAUCGCUGUGCAAUCUGGAAACAAAUUUCGGGAAAAAAUCUUUUCCGAUAAAUGGUUUUCCGGUAAAUGGUUCAUUCCGGUAAAUGGUACAUUCUGGUAAAUGGUCCAUUCCGGUAAAUGGUCUUUCCGGUAAAUGGUUUUCCGGUAAAUGGUUCAUUCCGGGUAAUGGUUUUCCGGUAAAUGGCAUUCCGGGUAAUGGUUUUCCGGGUAAUGUCGUAGAACCAAUCCUUGAUGUCAUCGACCAAAAGUUUGGGGUCACCCCUCAAUAUGCUGUAUCGGCCAAAAGUUUGGGGUCACUAUCGUAAAACAUGGAAAACGGAUUUGUUGAUAUCUUCGUCAUCUUUCAUUCAAUUUUAAUUCUUCUUGGCUUAUUUGAAACAAAAUGAAUGAUACUUACUGCAUAGACAUUGAACCACACAUAUUUGUUGAAAUUUACAUACUAAAACUUAACGUAAAGUUGCCUCAUUUUUUGAAGCGUGGUAAAAUGUGCAAACUUUACAUAACAUUUUUAUAUACAAAAUACGUAAAGUUGAAGACAUCAAACGUAAAUUUAGUUAAUUAUCUUUGAAAUGAGCCAAAAAUAAUUAAAAUUGAACUAUAGAUGACGAAGAUAUCACCAAAUCACUUUUCCAUGUUUUACGAUAGUGACCCCAAACUUUUGGCCGAUACAUCAUAUCGAGGGGUGACCCCAAACUUUUGGUCGAUGACAUCAAGGAUUAAUUUACUUAAUAACUUUUUUUCUACAUUUUUUAGCUAAGUUCUGUAAAAAGCAGUUGAAAGCUAAUAGAAAAUGGGUCAUAUUACCGCUCUCAUCUUAAAAUUUGGUCGACCCAACUUCCAGCGACACUGCCGUAAGUUUAUAUUCAUUUUUUAGAAAAUUUGGCAACUUUGGGUUAAGUUUACAUACAAAAUUUUUUGAAAAAGUUUCUUUUAAAUCAUGUUUAAAGUUUCUUUGACUUAUUAUCUUUUGAAUGAAACCUAGGGUUUUGAAAUCGGACGCAAAUUGGCGGAGAUAUGGGCCUAAAAAAAUAACAUGUUUUUGAGGGGGUGACCCCAAACUUUUGAACGGGAGUGUAUAUCUUCCAGAAACCCGUGCAGGAAAUUUUAUUGCAGACAUGGAUUCCUUCGUAUUUUUUUCUACAUAAUUUUUUCAGCGAAUUUGUUAAGAAAGCUUUCCUGGGAUUUCCUAAGGAAUUCCUCAUGGGAUUUCUUCAGGAAUUCCUCCAGAUUUUCCUUCAAGAAUUCCUCCAGGGUGUUUCUAUCAGGAACAACUCCAGGGAUUAUUUUAUAAAUUCCUCCAAGGAUUCCCCCAUGAACACUUUUCAAGGAGUUCCUCUUGGAAUUCUUUCAUGAACUCUUCCCAGAAUUAAUCCAGUACUUCCUCCAGGAACUGUUUGGAGAUUCCCAUAAGAAUUGCUUCUGGGAAUCCUCCUGGGGUGUCUUCAGGAACUUAUGCAGGGAUUCCUUCAGAAACUGCUGCAGGGAUUCCUUCAGAAACUGCUGCAGGGAUUCCCCAAGGAGUUCCUCCACGAACGCUUCUUGGAAUUCCUUCAGGAUUUCUCCAAGGAUUCCAUCUGCAGUUUCUUUGGGAAUUCUUCCUGGGAUUCCUCCAGGAACUUGUCAAGGGAUUCCUCCACGAAUUUCUUCAAAGAUUCCUCCGGAAAUUAUUCAAGAGAUUCCUCUGGAAAUUGCUGCAGUGACUCCCCUAAAAAUUUAUCCAAGGAUUCCUUCAGAAAUACCUCUAGCGUUUCCUCCAGAAAUUUCUCCAGGCGAUUCUUCUACAGAUUCUUCCAGGAGUAUUUCUAGAGAUUCUCCGUUAAUCCCCACAAGCAUUCCUCUAGGGCUUAACUCGGUAAUUCCUUAUGUGAUUCUUUCUGCAACAACUUAUUUUGAAAAUUCCUCCAAAGAUUCUCUCAGGAACUCUUCUUAGGAUUCCUUCAAGAAUUCAUCCUUGUAUUCUAUAUGGAACUCCUCCAUGAAUUAGUACAGCACUUCCUGCAGGAACUGCUUAGGGAUUCCUCUUGAAAUGGCCUCCGGGAUUUCUUCUGGAGUUUCUUCAGGAACUCUUCUAAGAAUUCCUCCAGAAUUUCUCCAAGAAUUCCAUCUGCGAUUUCUUCAGAAUUAUUCCUGAUAUUCUUCUACGAAUUCCUCACGAGAUUCAAUGUCUUCAUCUGCAGGAAUUUCUCCAAAAAUUCCUCCAGGAAUUCAUCUAGAUUCCUCCAGAAAUUUCGCCAGAAAUUCCUCUAGAGAUUUCUCCAGGAGUUCCUCUGUAGAUUCCUUCAGGAAUUAAUACAGGCAUCCUCCAGGAUAUCCUCCAGGGAUCCCUCUAACAAGAUUUUUUUCAGAGAUUCCUCCAAGAAACCCUCCAGGGUUUCCUCAAUGCAUUCCUUCAGGACUUCCUCCAGUAAUUGAUUCCGGGAUUCUUCCAAGAAUUAUACCAGGAAUUUGUACAGAUAUUUAUCCAGGACAUCUGCAAAGGAUUCCUCCAAGGAUUUUUUUUCCAGAGACUCCUACAGAAAUUCAUCCAAAGAUUUCUCCCGGAAUUACUUCAGGGAAUCCUCCAAAAAUUCCACCAGGAAUUAUCCUAGCCAUUCUUCCAUGAAAUUUUACAGGCAUUCGUGCAGUGAUUCCUCCUUGGAUUCUUGCAGAGAUUUCUCCAGGAUUUUUUUCAGCAAUUCCUUUGGGAAUUCCUCCAGGAAUUGCUUCAGGGACUCCUCAACAAAUUCUUCCAGGAAUUCCCCAGGAGUUCUUCCAUGAGUUUCUCCUGGGAUUGCUUCAGAAAUCCAUGCAGGCAUUUCUCUAGGAUUUCAUCCAGGAAUUAAUCCACGGUCUCUUUGAGGAAUUACUCCAGGAAUUUCUUCAGGGAAUCCUCCAGAAAUUAAUGAAGGAAUUCCAUCAUAAAUUAUGCCAGCAAAUCAUCCAGUAAUUUCUCUAAUAAAUCCUUCUUACAGGAUUUUCUUUAAGAAUACCUUCUAGAUUUUGUUUUCCAGGAAUUCCUCCAAUAACUCUUCUGUUCUAGAUUUUCCUCCAGGAAUUCCACUUAAAAUUCCUGCAGGAACUUCUUCAGGGAUUUUUCCAUGAAUUUCUCCAAGGAUUUCCCCAGAGAUUCCUUCAGAAAUUCCUUCAAGGAUUACUCCAGGAAUUUCUCCAGAAUUUUUUCUAGUAAUUCCUCAAGGAAUUACUCGGCAGAUUUUAUUGAGAAAUUUUACCCAGAGUUUCUCUAGAGAUUCCUCCAGAAAUUCAUUCAGCAAUUGUUGCAAGAAUUCCUGCAAAGAUUCCUCCAGCAAUUCUCAAAGGAAAACCUCCAAGAAUUGUUCCAGGUAUUCCUCCAGGAUUUUAUCAAGGCAUUCCAGGAAUUCUCCAAGUAAUAACUCAAGAAUUUCUUCAGGAAUUCCUCUAGCAAUUUCUCUAGGAAUUGAUCCCGGAUUCGCUCCUGGAAAUCCGUCCGAAAUUAUGUCAGCAAUUUUUCCAGAAAAUCUUCUGAGGAUUUUUUUUUUUCAGUAGCUAUUCCAGGAAAUUCUCCACGAAAUUCUCCAGGGAUUUUCCCAGGGAUUCCUCUAGGAAAUCCUUCAGAAGUUCCUCUAAUGAUUCUUCCAGCAGAUCCUCUAGGGAUUUCUUCAAAAAUUCUUCCAGGAAAUUCUCCAGGAAUACCUUCAGGAAUUUUUCAGGGAUUCCUCCAGGGAUUUAUUCACAAACUGCUUCGAGGAUUCUCCAGGAAUUCCAGAAAUUCCAGAAGGGAUUCUUUCAGAAAUAGAAAAAUAAUAGAAUUCCUUUGGGGAUUCCUCUAGAAAAUUAUCCAGUAAUUCUUUCAUGAAUUCGUCUAGAGGUUUCUCCAGGGAUUUCAUCAUUGAUUCCUCCAACAGUUCCCACAGUAAUCCCUCUAGGAAUUCCUCCAGACAUUCCUCCAGGAUUUUAUUCAGGAAUUUCUGCAGGAACUCUUCCGGGAAUUCCUCCAGGAAUUACCCCAGGAAUUUCUUCAAAAAUUGCUCCUGGACAUCCUUCAGAAAUUAUGUUAACAAUUCCUCUAGGGAUUCCUACAGGCCUUUCUCCAUGAAUUUCUCCUGAGAUUCCAUCAGGAAUUGCUUCAGGAAUUUCUCCAGAGAUGCUCCCACGAAUUUCUCCAAGGAUUUUUCCAUGGAUGCCUCCAGGAAAUCCUUCGAAGUUUCCUCCAGGAAAUCCUUCAGCAGUUCCGCCAAGGAUACUUCCAGGAAAUCCUCUAGGGAUUUCUUAAGAAAUUCUUCCAGGAAGUUCUCCAGGAAUACCUUCAGGAAUUUUUCAGGGAUCCCCCAGGUAUUCCUCCAGGGAUUUGUUCACAAAUUUCUUCAAGGAUUCCCCCGGAGUUUUCUUCAGGAACUCCUUCAAGGGUUUCUUUAUUAUUUCAAGAAAUCCUCUUGGAAUCUCUCAAGGAUUUUUUUUUCAGAAAUUUUUCCAGGAAUUCCUCCACGAUUUUUUUCAAGGAUUGCUCCAAGAAUUCAUUCAAGAAAUCUCUCCAGGAAUUCCUGUUGGGUCUCAUCCAAGAAUUCUUCCAGGAAUUUGUUCAGAAGUUUCUCCAGGCAUUCCUCCAGGAUUCUCUUGAGAGAUUUUCCCAGGAAUUAGUUCAGGUUUCCUCCAGAAAUUUCAUCAGGGAUUUCUACAAGAAUUCCUCCAAGGAUGCCUUCUGAAAUUUCUCUAAGAUUUCCUCUAGGAAUUCCUCAAGAGCUUUCUUCUGAAAUUUUCCUAGGCAUUCAUCCCAGAAUUCCUCCGGGAAUUUCUCCAGAAUUCCCUCCAAGGAAUCCUCCAGAAAUUCAUCUAGGAUUUCUUCUAGUAUUUCCUCAUGAGAUCUCUUCAGAUAUUUCUCUAGGUAUUCCUCCCAUAACUUAUACAGAAAUUCGUCAACGUAUACUGUCAGAAAUUCUUCCAAGGAUUACUCCGGGAAUUACUCCAGGGAUUCAUCCAGGUGUUUCUUCAGGGAUUUAUCGAGGAAGUCUUCCAGGGAUUGCUCCAGAAAUUCCUCAAAUGAUUUCUUUAGAAAUUUCUCUCAGGUACUCUUCAAAAAUUCAUUCAGGAGUUUCUUCGGAAAUUACAGAAAUCCUUCAAUCAUAUUUUCAGGGAUGUACCCAAGAACUUCUCCAGGAAUACCUGAUGUUUUUUUUGUUAAUUAUUUCAAGAAUUUGUGGAGAACUUCAGGUAUCAGGUAUCAGCCUAUGAUUCAAAGAAGGAAAAAUCUCUGACAAUAAUUUUCUCAGUUUCAACGCCAACUAAUCCCUUAACGGUAAAACUAGAAAGAAUAGUAUAUGAUUAAAAGAAGGAAAUAUUUCUGAUGAUCAUAUUGGCAGCUACCAUGUUAUCCAGAGUUUGCCCACGCCUCCAAAUCCUUUUGAUACUAAUUCGGCCAAACGGCAUUCGGCCAAACGGCAUUCGCCCAAAUGGCCGGACACCCGGAACAACUGCAGUCAGUUAACAUACCAAAACAGGAAUACCUGUCAAAAGCCUUUGGAAAACUUAAGGAUAUCUACAGUUUGUUUUGUAUUCGUUUUCAGGUAACUGGUCAAGAUGUAAAUGUUUUGUACGUAUCAAUUUCGUAUGGAUUAGAGUAGCCCACACUUAUAUGAAAAACACAACUUCUUCUUGUUUUUAGCGUGACAUCUCCGCUGCUACCUCCGCCAAUAACAAUUUUGCAUGUUCAUAUCAUGUGGCUGGCACGAAGAUACUCUAUGACCAAGAAAGUCAAGAAUUUCCAUAACAAAGAGUUCCGGUCCAGGGGAAGGAAUCCGUUACCCUCAGCAUAAUUUUUUGGUUUAUUUUUGGUUAUUUAAAAAAAUAUCCUAUUCGUUAUACAGGGGAUACUCAAAAUAACUGGGACAGGAAAAGUUUUCACUUUUCAAAAAAUGUUCAACUAGCUGUAACUUUUUGAAUAGGGCAUCAAAUAUUCUCAAAUUUUUACUGUAAGUUCAUCAACUAGUUGUGUAUCAGUGGUCCAAAUUUGAAAAAGUUCGGGCUAUUCUACACGAAGUUAAAAAUAUUCUAGAAAAAGGUAUAAUUAUCCGAUAGCCAACUUUGAGCUGUUAUAUCUCCGGAUUCAAUAAACCGAAUGCAAUGAAAAUUUGGUCGUUUAUGACUAAUAUAAUGAGCUAUUUAAAACUUUUGACUAAACUUAAAUUUUUUUACACGAAAGAAAAAUUUAACGAUUAGAUUAUUUUCCUAAUAAAACGCCAAUUUAUCCAAAACUUCAUCAUCGUUUCAAAAUUCAAGAUAAUAGUUAUAGUUCAUUGAAAUUCCCUCUAAUUGAUUUGAAUAUAUUAAUGUUUCGAAGGAAAGCAACCAAAUGGCCGGCAUUAUAUUGAAAAAGUAAUGGAAUGCAUAUGAAAAAUAGAUAAAUUUAGUAAAAAAACAUAGAAUAUAUGAAAUCGUUAUAACUUUUUUUCUUAUUAAUAAUUUCAAAUUAAGUCAAAUGUUUUUCAAAGUUCAUUAUAUCAGUCAUAAAUGAUCAAAAUUUCAUUGCAAUCGGUUUAUUGAAUCCGGAGAUAUAACAGCUCAAAGUUGGCUAUCGAAUAAUUAUACCUUUUUCUAGAAUACUUUUAACUUCAUGUAGAAUAGCCCGAACUUUACCAAAAUUGGACCACUGAUAGACAACUAGUUGAUGAGCUUACAGUAAAAAUUUUAGAAUAUUUGAUGCCCUAUUCGAAAAGUUACAGCUAGUUGAACAUUUUUUGACAAGUGAAAAUUUUACCUGUCCCAGUUAUUUUGAGUAUCCCCUGUAGUUUCUUUCAUUGUUAACAAUUUUAUGUAAAAUAAAUCGCUUUCCAAAGCUCAUUAUAUGUCAUUGACAUGUCAUGCCAGUACCGAUUGAAGUGAUGCUUGCGAUUCCAGGAACCUCUCCGUACUUGGUUGUUCUCUUACAUUCGCCCUGGAAGUAGGUAACGAUUCGCAAGACCGUGCUACUCAGUCAGCUCAGCAGCAGCCAUUGUUUUCACUUCGAUGUCUUCGUGGCUGUUGGCUGCUGGCUGCUGGAACCGAGCCAAUUCGGAUGCAAUAUGUAUCUAGGCGUACAUAGGUAUCCGUUUCGGGGUGGUGGGUUGUAGGUUUUUGGCGGCUUUACAUACUGGAAGGUAUCGCAUUCAGAGCAGCUUUCCCCGGAAUCGGGGCUCCGUUGGCAUUCGUUGGAAAGCCAAAGAACUUUUCAGCUCUUGAAAACGUUUCAAUUCUAGGAGAAUUUUUGGAAAGCUUGAUACAAUAUCAUGAUAAAAUAUCAAAAAAUAUUUCAUUCAAAGCUGAAGGAUGAACAACAUCUAUUUCAACAAUAAUAUAAAUAAGAAAAGCAAGACAAAGCCUGUAUCCGCAAUAAUUGGGAAGCGCAAACACGUCAAAGGGUACAUGAAUAUUGCCCAAAUUUGACCUGUGAACUUCUGACAGUGUAGGGAAAUUGAACCCUGCAAAAUUCCAUACAAUCCGGAGCAGCACAUUUUGUUUAUAGACACUAUAAACCAUAGCGAUCUUAGGGGAUUCAGAGGGUUUCAGUGUCGUUUCAGGAAGUUUCAGACGACGUUUAAGGUACUUUAGGGAUGUUCUAGGGCGUUUCAAGGGAAUUGAGUGACGGUCCCAGAAAAAUUACUAGGGACUUUAAGGAGUUGGGAAACUCAUGAAACCUCUGCCCUGAAACGCAUUUUAACUCAAAUUCAUUAAAAAAAAAACUGCUCUAGAAUCAAUCGCAACGCCCUGAAAACCAUCUGAAACGUCAAGAAACCCCGUGAAAGCCCCUGAAACCCCUCAAAACGCUUUUGAAACCCUCUGAUAACCACUGCAAACCACUAAAACGCUAUCGAAACCGCUAUUAAAACCCUCUUGAACGUAACUGAAAAUCUUCUGAAACGUCCUAAGGGGCUGUCCAUAAACCACGUGGCCAUGAGGGGGGGAGGUUCGGCCAAUGACCAUUUUGUAUGGACAAAUAAAAAUUUUUGUAUGGACUAAUGACCACGCGGGGGGGUUUGAAAAGUCCCAAAAAAAUGACCACGUGGUUUAUGGACAGCCCCUAAGACUCUUUGAAAAGCCCUGAAACCUCCCAGGACUCCCCUCGGAAAUUCUCAACGACGCUCCUGAAACAACCCUCAAACCGGUUGAAAUUCCCUCUUGAAAUGCCCCUGAAAUCCCAUGAAGCACGCCAGAAUCCACCGCGGGGAACACCACUGAAACUCAUCUGAAAUCCCUCUUUAACCGCUUCUAGUACCCCCUUAGACUUCCCCUGGAUAUCCUCCGAAACGUGCCUGAAACAAUCUUGCGUAGAAUCGAGUACAGAGAAAAGUACAUAGACAGUGCAUACCCCAUGUUGAUGACCAAUUAGUCUUGUAGGGGUUUUGAGAACCGUCAUAAAACCUAAUACCGUUUGUUUUGGUUUCAUGAUGUUUCCAAAAACCUUUUUUAGUCAAGUCUGCUUGACUACUAAAAGUUACUGAGCUCAGGACACAGGAGACUUCCAGUGCACGGCAAAAUAAUAAGUGUACAAAACACAAUCGAUUGCACGUACUCCCCUUUUCGAGUAGAUUGUGCUGUCCCACAAAGAGUUUCGAGUCGCACCCUAUCGCUGGACGUUGAAGGGGAUAUUGCAGGGUACUUUAACGGUUUCUGGGACGUUUUAGCGGGAAUCAGGGAGUUUCAGAUAAGUUUCAAGAGAUUUCAUGGGGUCACUGGGGUGUUUCUGAGGGAUUUUGAGGACGUUUCAGAAGGUUUAAGAGGCGAGUUACGGAAGGUUAAAAGGAGUUUUGGGAGGUUUCAAUGAGAUUCAAGAGGUAUCAGUUGGCUUCUGAAAUUGGGGAGGGGAGGGGGUGAUAUUCACAACCAGCUCCCCUCUAAAGCUUUCAUGAAACACAUCUAAUAUGCCGCAAUUUCUCUUGAAAUAACUCAGAAAUCUCCUAGGAGUCCCUGAAACACCUCUAAACUUCCAGAAAUCCCUGAAACUUCCUAAAAUCCUGUUUCCUUCUGAAUAUCUUUAAAAUUCUCUGAAACUUGUUGGAGACCCGCUGAAGCCCUGAGACCUCCUGAAAUGCCAUUGAAAUCUACUAAACCCGCUGAAACGCCCUUGCAAUCCAUGGGGUUCAGAAGUUCACUAGGCGGUUUCUAGCGGGAAGAAGGGUUUCAAGACGAUUCAGUGGGAUUUACGAGGUAUCAAUCGGCUCCAGACAUGUUUUGGGGGUUGCAUGAGAUCUUCAGGACAGCCCUCCUCCAUGAAUACUCUGAAGCUCUCAUGAAACACAUCUGAGAUCCCCCUAUGUUUCUUGAAAUAGCUCUGAAACCCCUAGAAAUUUCUUGAAUACCUCUUAAAACCCCUGACACCUCAUGAAAUCCUGUCGCUCACUAAAUCAUUUUAAAAUUCCCUGAAAAACGCCCCGUGAAACGCUCUUGACACCCACUAAAACCCAAUGAAACCCCAUUGAAACCUUUAGCAACAUUCUUAAACCAGCUGAAUACCCCUUAAUCUCCCUUGAAUGCUCCUGAAACCACUCUGGACCUUCCAGAACUGGCUAUGAAACCUGCCCAAGCUUGCUAAAGCUCCCAGAAAUCAGCAUUUCUGAAAUAUCUCUGAAAUAUCUUUGAAUCCCCUGGAAUCCUAUUCAACAAACGAUGAAAUUUGUGAACUUUUCCCUCGGUAAUUCUUAGAGAAAAGCCCCGGAGGAAUCCAUUGAAAAAUCAUAUCCAUAUAUAAAAUCCUAGAGUUGUCUGCCCUGCCGUCACGCUGUGAAAUGUUUCAUUGAAAUGUUUCACAGAAUAAAAGCUACAAUAAUCAUUGCACUGGAGCAUUGCACCUGUGUUGAAUUAGUGUAUCAUUGCAAUGGUGCAUCGUUGCAUAAGUACAUCAUUGCAUAGGUGCAUCGUUGCAGUGUUGGUGCAUCGCAGCAUUGAUGCAUCGUUGCAUUGUUGUGCCGUAUCAUUGGUGCAUCGUUGAAUUGGUGCAUCAUUGCAUUGGUACAUCAUUGCAUUGAUACAUCGUUGCAUAGGUGCAUCGUUGCAUUGGUGCAUCAUUGCAUUAGGGCAUCGCUCCAUAGGUGCAUCGUUGCAUAGGUGCAUCGUUGAAUUGGUGCAUCAUUGCAUUGGUACAUCAUUGCAUUGAUACAUCGUUGCAUAGGUGCAUCGUUGCAUUGGUGCAUCAUUGCAUUAGGUCAUCGCUCCAUAGGUACAUCGUUGCAUAAGUGCAUCGUUGCAUUGGUACAUGUUUGAAUUGGUGCAUCGUUGCAUUGGUGCAUCAUUGCAUUAGUACAUCGUUGAACAGGUGCAUGGUAGCAUUGCUGCAUCGUUGCAUUGUUGGGUCGUGGCAUUGGUGCAUCGUUGAGUAGGUGCAUCAUUAGAUUGGUGCAUCAUUAAACUCGUGCAUCGUUGCAUUGAUCAAUCUUUGAAUUGAUGCAUCGUUGCAUUGAUGCAAUGUUCCAUUGAUGUAUCGUUCCAUUGACGCAUCGUAGGAUUUGUAAAGCAUUGUUUUUAUAAAUCAUUUCAGCAGUUUCUAGAAUUUUCUUUCCAUUCUAUGGUUCAGAACCCUACAACAGUAAUUUACAGUCAAGAGGUGGAUACUUGAAAGUAUACCUUCUGGCGCUUCUCAAUGAGAUGCCUAAUGUUGUGAAAUAUUUCACAUAUGCAUUGAUCUAAUGGCUUUCGUGAAAUCUUAUGAAAGGUUUCCUUCUGGAAGAUUCUGUGAAUAAAAAUCAUAGCUAUUAAACCCCAGAGUUUUUUGUCCAUCCAACACGCUUUGAAAUGUUUCGUUGAAUUGUUCCACACGGUAUGACAGUUAUACAAGUAUUAUCUCUGCAUUGGUCCGACGUGCAUUGGUGCAUCGUUGCAUUGCUGCAUCAAUGCUGUAGAAAGGUCUAGAAGUUUCUUCCAUUCCAUGAUUUAGAACCCUACAACAGUCCGAUAUACUAAUCAAGGUUGGAUGCAUAAUACUAUACCUUCUGGCGCUUCUCAAAGAGGUGCACCAUGCUGAGUGAAAUAUUUCACAUAUGCAUUGUCACAUUAGCCUUCAAGAAAGCUUCUAGAAAUUCAAGUAUUUCAACCAGUGGCGAUUCGCUAACCUCCAAUCUACCUGUUCGACGAUUGCAAAUUCUUAAAUUUUCUCAAUAAAUUGCCUUGUAAUUUGUAGAAAAUGGCGAGAACAAUCGUUUCCGUCUAUUUUCAAUUUGAUUAUGACCCUAAAUUCCCCGAAAGUGCAAGUUUAAGGAUCGUUGAACAGGUAAAAAGUGAGGUUACGAGACGCCAUUGAUUUACACGAAAAUCAUGGAAAAUGUUUGAACCUUACUCCUUUGCCGUAGCUUCUAAGCAAAUUUCAAAAGAAUUCUGCUAGAGUUCUACAAAAAUAUCAUGCAAGAUUUCUGUCUGCAAACAUUUCAGGAUAAUUGAAGAAAAAUUCCCACAAAAACAAAUAUUAGAAUUGUUUAAUAGAACGAUUCUUCCGAUAAUUAGAACGAUUCUUCCGACGUAUGAGACAUAUUUCGAAAUCAUCUGGAAGUUCAGAUAAAAUUACAACUUUUAGAGGAACGGACAUCGGCUCUCUGUAUCGAGUCUUGGAGCCGUCACAUGAACUACGAAUUGUACCAAGUAUAUAAAUAAAUGGAUAUAGUGAAGCGAAUUAAACACGGCAGACUGCGGUGGGCUGGGUACUUAGCUCGUAUGCCGGAGGAACGACAAGCUCUGAAUAUUUAGCAGAGAACCAAGAAGGGGCCGUCGGUUUCACGGUAGGCCGCGCAAACGUUGACUUUUUGCAUUUUAAGAGUAUGUUCACGGCUAUUGGAACCGAUUGGCCCAGAACCAGAGACCAGCGGAGGCUGUUGUUUUAUUCUGCGUGGACUCGCCACUACGAGUUAUAGCCCAUCAAAUGUCAGUAAGUAUUCGGCAAAAUAGAGAGCGUAACAGGAGAGAGCAGUCAAGAAAAGGAAUCACCACACGAAGAGCAAAAUAUCAUUUUUUAGGAACAAAAUACUAUGGAAUAGAAUAAUAUGCGGACAUUUACGAAACAGUCAACGGCUUGCGGGCAAAACGGCGCUGUUAGCCGUUAUGUGCAAUGGCCGAGAAAGUAUGUUGCUGAUAGACAAAACUUUGGUAACUGAAGGGUGGAGAGCCUUUCAAGCUUUUGUAUCAGUGGAUUUGGUAAAUAGAAAGGCUUUUGCUGACCCGACUAGGAAAUUGUAACAAAUACAUAACAUAAUCGUAGCAGACCAUGAUAUUUAUAACUCAUUGGGAUAUAAUCAUGUUCAACAUCCUCGGUGUUUUCAAAAUAUUGUACCUCAAUUAUAUUACAUUAUGUUAUAAAUGUUGUUUGAUAACUUAUUGUAUUAUAAUUUAGUUUUGAGUCUUCGACAUUUGAAAAAUAAUGUUACAAAAUCAUAUCAAAUUCUGAUAGUUGAUAUAAUUUUGUGCUGAAAUCAUAUCAUAUUUUGUUAUAAUUUUGAUAUGAUUAUAACAAAAUAGGUUAUAAUCUUGAUUAGAUCAGUGCACUUUUUGUUAAAAUUUUAGUUAUUUUAACAUCAUCCUGCAUCUAGUUUAUAAUAUAAUUAUUUAUAAAAAAAAAUAUUAUAACAUCAUAACACAAUAUGAUAUAAACUUGAUAUAAUUUUCCGGUCGGGGGGCCUUUCAUGUCUGGUAAACAUUCAAAAUUAAAUUUGGCCCCUACGAUCAACACAACGCACCGGUUGUUAACUAGAAUUAGUCGAAUUUGACUUUGUAACUUUUGAAUAAUAGAGAAAAAUCUUGUAAUCGAGCAUUUUUUUCAAGAAUUUUGAGAAAUUGAUAAAGAAUCCUGUUUAAAAAUUUCUUAAAAUUCCAAAGACCACCUCUGACAGCGGUUAAAGACAACGUGUCAGAUAUUUUGUCAUUCCCUCCACAUUUCUCCGCUACAGCCAAAUGGUAUGAAGAAAGCUCGACCUGCCAACGAGGACGGCUAGAAAUCGAUUGGACACCCCGUUCGUGAACGACACGUGCCGAUGAUGCUCCGAUUCCGAUGGUUUGUUUGUUUUUAUGCCGAAAAGAACAAACUCCGGAGGCGCUCGCUCAGAUGACGGAGGAAAGCAAAAUGAUCGGUUUCCUUGGUAGGUAUAUCUGGUUGGAUGGAUACUGAAUCAAACCCGACCCGGAAGAUUCAAUCAAAUAUAUAACAUAAUUAUAACUAACCAUGAUAUUUAUAACUUAUUGUGAUAUAAUCAUGUAGAACAUCUUUGGUGUUUGAAAAUGUUUUAACUCAAUUAUAUCAUAUUUUGUUAUAAAUGAUGUUCAAUAACUCAUUGUAAAAUAAUUUAGAUAUCAUUCUUUGACAUCCAGAUAAUAUUUUUACACAAUUGUAUCAAAAUAUGAUACAAACUAGUUUUCUAGAAGCUAAAAUUUAUAUCAUAUUGUGUUCUAAUUUUGAUCUUCCUCUAACAAAAUAGGUUAUUAUUGUGUUUAGACCGGUGUACUUUUUGUUACAAUUUUAGUUAUUUUAACAUCAUCCAACAUCUAGUUUAUAACAUAAUAAGUUAUAGAAAAAAAAUAAAACAUCAUAACACAAUAUGUUAUAAACAUGUUAUGUUUUUCUAGUCGGGAAGUAUGUACAUCGCUCUCCAGACUUUUCCGAAUUGAUGGAAUGAAAUGUGAUGGCUAGAAGCAGAUAUGUACCGACAAAACAAGCUUUCGUUUUGAAUGUAGAUGAGAAGAAGGCUUUCCCUCCCUGCUGUCAAGAAUUGCGGGGGAAUGGGACUGAAGAUGAUAAAUUUUGCAAAUUGUAAUUAGGUCUGAAGCAUUUUGAAACAGUGCCUUUGUAAUUCUGAAUCAUUGAAUUUCUAUGAAGAAAGUCAUGAAUUCGAUUGUGAAAGCGAAAAACUCUCUUAUAUCCUUGGAAAACCUCAAACUUUCGCCUAUAAAUAUUUAGAGAAGCACAGUACACAUGACUUAAGCCUAGGCUUGAUGGUUCCCAUUUCUCCGUAAUGAACACAUUUCAGAAUCUUCUCCAAUGGUUGUUCGAAACUGAGCGAUUGCCCCGAAGCGCAACACCAUAGUCUCUUUCUCCGACAUGCGCUCCGCUUAAUUAUUCAAAAGCGAACAAAUUACCUUCUGGCCGUAUUUGCCAUCCUCCAUUCCUAGAAAAGCCCGAAAUUUUCCCAUCCAGCCGUCUCCGUGGUGAGUGAGUACUUGCUCGCUCCAAUCACCAUCAUCUCUAACCGAUGACGACAUAGACGAUGGAGAUGAGAGGAUGAAUAAUAUGACGGGUUACAAAUCGAGGAAGGCGCCUCGAGGCGAUUCGGAUGAAAUGCAACACAAGGGCUGCCUUUGUGCCAAGAAGGUCAAAAAAUUACAUUCCAUUGACAUCUCGCCAUGCGAGAUUGGGUAGCCGGCAUUCCAGGACCCACCAGACUGGAAAAAUUCUAACAAAAAUAUAACAUAAUUAUAACAAACCAUGAUAUGUACAACUCAUUGUGAUAUAAUCAUGUUUAACAUUUUUUGCAUUUGAAAAUAUUAUAACUCAAUUGUAUCAUAUUAUGUUAUAAAUGUUGUUUAAUAACUCAUUGUGAAAUAAUUUAGUUUUGAUACUUUGACAUACAGGACAUCAUUUUACACAAUUAUAUAACAAUUAUUCUUGAAGCUAAAACUAAUAUCAUAUUGUGCUAUAAUUUUGAUCUUAUUAUAACAAAAUCGGUAAUUAUUUUGAUUAGAUCGGUGUACUUCUUGUUACACUUUUAGUUAUUUUAACAUCAUCCUGCAUCUAGUUUAUAACAUAAUAAGUUAUUGACAAUUUUGAUAACAUCAUAACACAAUAUGUUACAAACUUGAUAUAAUUUUCUAGUCGGGUAAGUAUUGGAAAAAUUGCAUAAUAUUCUAACUUGAGCUGUGAUAUUGGAUGUAUCUACGUAUAUGGAAAUCAUAUAUAUCCUAAUCAAGACCAAAAGCUGAGAAAGCCAAAACCCCAAGAUGCAAAAAAAAGGAAGAAGCGAUCAAAUCUCCCAAGCCAGAAUUCAAAUUUAGAUUUAUUUAUUCCACUGUUUUGUACUUAAACAUUUUCUAGAUAAUUUCUAAAACUUUGCUUAUCGAGCAAAUUCACACUGCUGAAACUUCCUAUGAACGAAAGAAGCGAAAAUCUGCGUUAAAUUCCAAUUAGUUGCAAAGGAGUUCUGAAAAGCGCCAAUGUGCAAAGCGCUCAGACCUUAAACAGCUUCCUAUAGAAGAAAGAAUGGUAAAAAUAGUGUAUACUCAACAGACGUAGAGACAGAUGACACUAUAGAAUACAAAAAAUAAAUCGGAAAGAGCUCACCAAUUUCUAUAUCGUCGGUUAAUCGCACCCACACUUCGAUUUCUCUCCAUCUUUGCGCCAAACAAUGUACUCUUGGUAAAAGAUCAAGCACUUUCCGCUCACCGUUACUGCCCGCAUGAUGCAGAUGCACGCACUUACAAACUAGUCGCGCGCGCGCUCACUGUUAACGCUUUGCGCCGAAUAACGCACCCACGGCAAGGCAUCUUCCGAAACUAGCCGCAAUUACGCUCACUGCUUAAUUUUCGCUUGAAGCUACCAGAAAAGAAUCUUCCUAAGCUACCCAACUAGAAGAUUCUAACAAAAAUAUAACAUAAUUAUAACAAACCAUGAUAUGUAUAACUCAUUGUGAUUUAAUCAUGUUUAACAUCAUUGGUGUUUAAAAAUAUCAUAACUCAAUUGUAUCAUAUUAUGUUAUAAAUGUUGUUCAAUAAGUCAUUGUGAAAUAAUUUAGUUCUGAUCGUUUGACAUUCAGCACAUCAUUUUACACAAUUGUAUCAAAAUAUGAUAGAAACUAGUUUUCUUGAACCUAAAAUUUAUAUUAUAUUGUGUUAUAAUUUUGAUCUGAUUAUAACAAAAUAGGUUAUUAUUUUGAUUAAAUUCACCGGUUUUUGUUACAGUUUUAGUUAUUUAUAACAAAAUAAAUUAUAGGAAAUUUUCAUAACAUCAUAACAUAGUGUGUUAUAAAUUUGAUAUAUUAUUCUAGUCGGGUAGCCUUACAUUAUGAUCAUUGUUUAAGUUUUGCGUCUAACAAUGUACGAAAUCUUCAGAAUCCUAAAGUAUACACUGUCACUGUUAAUGUUUUGCGCCGAAUCACGUACUCGCGGCAAGGAAUCUUUCGAAACUAAGCCCAUCCACGCUUACUGUUUUUACUUUUUGCUUUCUUUCGUCGAAAAACAAACACCCAGCAAAUCUAGCUCAAAUCUAGCUUCGCACCCGACUAGGAAGUUCUAACAAAAAAUAUAACAUAAUUAUAACAAACCAUGAUAUUUAAAACUCAUUGUGAUAUAAUCAUGAUCAACAUUCUUGGUGUCUUCGAAAUACUACAACUCAAUUAUACCACAUUAUGAUCUACAUGCUGUUUGAUUACUCAUUGUAAUAUAAUGUAGUUUUGAUUCUUUGACAUUUGGACAAUAAUCUAACAAAAUUGUAUCACAUUUUGAUAGAAACUAGAAAUCCUGAAGCUAAUAUUCAUAUCACAUUCUGUUAUAAUUUCGAUCUGCUUAUAACAAAAUAGGUUAUUAUCUUGAUAAGACCAGAGUGGUUUUAGUUAUUUUAACAUCAUCCUACAUCUAGUUUAUAACACAAUAAGUUAUUGAAAAAUAUUAUAACAUCAUAACAUAAUAUGAUAUAAUUUUGAUAUAAUUUCCUAGUCAGGCAGACACUCACAGCUUACGUUUUGUACCUAUCCACGUAUUGACUUUGUUUUGCCCAAGCAGCAAGUCACAUUUGAGGUAGAAAUCUCUAGAAAAAAAAACAUGCAUUUCCGCAGUAAGAUUCCUCUAGUAUUUCUUCAUAAAAUCAUUUUAACCUGAAAUGAGAUUCACCCGAGUUAUCAAACCACAUUUAUAAUAUAAUGUGAUAUAAAUGAGUUAUAGUAUUUUAAAACCACCAAGGAUAUUGAACACAAUGUGUUAUGAAUAUCAUGAUUUGUUAUGAUUAUGUUAUAUUUUUGUUACAAAUAAAAUCGAUGUCGGAAGAUUCUUCAGAUAUUUCAUCAGGAGAUUCAUUCCUGAAGAAAUUGCGAUUCUUCCGGGAAUUGAUCCAGGUAUUAUUCCAGAACUUCAUUAAGAGAUCUAUCUAGGGCUUCUUGCAUGGUUUCUCCAGGCAUUCUUUGAAGUAUUCAACCAGGAAUUCAAUUGAAAAUUCUUCCGCACAUACCUCUAUGACUUCCUUCGGCGAAUUUCCAUGCAUAUCUUCAUUUAUUUCUCCAAAAAUUUUAUUAGGUAUUUAUCCACUAAUUUACUUCAGAAAUUAUUUUAGUAAAUCUAUCACUAGUUCUUCCAGCACUUCAUUGAGGAAUCCAAUUGAAAAUUUCUCCACUAACUUUAUCAGACGUUCCUCCAAGAUUUUCUUCAGGGAUUACUCCACAAAUUUCUUCUGGAGUUUAUUUAGAAUUUUUAUCAAAAAGAUUCCUUUUGCAAGUAUUUUUCUUUUUAAAUAUUCAGGAAUUCUCCCUGGACUUACUUUAGAGAUUCCUCGGGUCAACAAACGAAGACUAGAAAGCAAUUCCGAAUAAAAGUUGUUAGGUUUUAUGAUGAUUCUAAAAACCUCUACAAGACUUAUUGGGGGGUUAUUUAGAGAUUCUUCGAAGAUUUUCAUCAAAGAUACCUACAGGAAUUCCAUCAGAGAUUUUUCAGAAAUUCCUGCAAAGAUCUUUCCAGGAAUUCUUCCAUACAUAUUGCCUAUUUUACUGGCAUUUUACCAGGUUUGCUGGUAUGUCUGAAACAUACUGGAAAAACUUGUAAUUAGAAGGCACGAAAUGUUGCUAAUUGGCAAAUUGAGAGAUGAAAUUUGUGAAAAAAAAUCACGUUCUGGUGGGGUUCGAACACACGACUCCGUAUUCGCUCCGUAUUCUAAGCCGAAAAGAGAGAUGAGUUUGUGAAAUAGGAGUGUUCACGGUGCGGCUUCGGAGUCAGUUUGGCUUUCUAUUCCGCAGAACCAUUACCUGUCCUGUGGCUUAGUUGGUUAAAGCGCCGGUCUAGCGAAUACGGAGUCGUGGGUUCAAAUCCCACCACGCGAUUUUUUCACAAAUUUCAUCUCUCAAUUUGCCAAUUAGCAACAUUUCGUGCCUUCUAAUUACAAGUUUUUCCAGUAUCUUCCAGGGUUCUUUCCGGGAUUCCUCAAGAACUUCAGGAAUUUUUCCAGGAAUUCCUACUGGAUACCCUCAGAGAUCUAGAUAUUUAGAUAUUUGUUCAGGAAUACUAUUGAAUUCCUUUACCAUGAGAUUAUUUCAAUAAUUUCUCUACAGAUUUUUUUCAGAAAUUCAUUUAGUGAUUCUUCCACUAAUUCUUUCAGGAUAUUAUUAAUCCCAUUGAAAAUAUCUUCAGGAAUUUAGAAACUUAUCCAAAAAAUGGAUCAUGAUCUUCUCCAGAAAUUUCUUCAGAAAUGUCUCCAGAAAUUCUACCAUAAAGAUUCAUGUUGCAAGUUUUCUUCUCGGAAUUCUUGUAAAAUCUUUUUCGGAAUUUUCCCUUCACUUACUGCAGGGAUUUCUUGGAUCACGAAACAAAAAUUGGAAAGCAAUUUUGUGGUGAUUUUACUCGGGUUUCCUUCUGAUUCUUCCAAUGUAUUUUUCAGGAAUUCCGCCAUAAUUUUUAUCAAAGAUACCUACAGGAAUUCCUUUUGAAAUUCUUAGAGGAAUUCCUGCUGUGAUGGUUCCAGGAAUUCUUGCAAGGACUUUUCAAGGAUCACUCAAGGAAAUUUUCCCAGGAAUCCCUAUGACUUCCUUCAGGGAUUGCUUAAGAGAUUUGUCUAGAAAUGUGGAAUUCCAUUUCCAUGAGGUUCUUUCAGAAAUUUCUCAAAUUUUUUUCAGAAAUUCCUUUAAAAUUUCCACUUAUUUUUCCAGGACAUCCUUCAGUAACCCAUUGAACAUUUCAUCGAGAAUUGCUUCAGACAUUCCUCCAAGAUUUUCUACAGGUAUUCCUCUAGAGAUUUCUUUAACAAUUACUUCAGAAUUUUAAUCAAAAAGAUUCCUUUUGCAAAUAUUCUUCUAUGAAUUCUUGUAAAAAUAUUCUUGAAUUUCCCCUUUCACUUACUAGAAAACUAGACAGCUAUGCUAUAGUGAUUAUUCCAGGGAUUCCUUCAAUUUUUUACAGCGUUUCCUCCAGGAUGUCAUAAUAAGAUGAGAUUCCAUUAAUUUUUGCAGAAAUUUCUCUAGAUAUUGAUUCAACGAUAUCUCCGAAAAUACAUGUUGGUAUUUGUAUCCACGAACUGUUUUCAGAGAUUCCUCCAAGAAUUCCUUCAGGAGUUCCCGUACGAUUUUUUUUACUUUAUUGUUUAUUCAGGGGUCUCUUAACAAAUUCAUUCGUAGAUUUAUCCAGGAAUUCUUCAAAAAUAUUAGCAUCAAUAACCAAAAGGGUUUUCUCCAGCAAUUUUCCUACAAUGAUCCUUCCAGGAAUUGUUGCAGGGAUUUUGCGGGAUCCUUUGUUCAGGAUUAUCUUCAUGAAUUCCAUUUCCAUGAGAUUCUUUCAGAAAUAUUUCUAGAGAUUUUUUUCAUGAAUUCCUCCAAAAACUGCUUGAGGGGUUUGUCCAAGAUUUUUUGCAGAAAAAAUCUCCACGAACUCUUUCAGAGAUUUCUCUGGGAUUCGAGGGUUCCUGAACGAUUUAUUUUUCUUUAUGUGUUUCCUUAAUGCUCCCUUAACGAAUACCUUCUAGAAUUUCUCCAGGAUUCCUGAAGAACUUUCUUUAAAAAAAUAUUCUCAUGAAUAGCCUCCAGUAAUUUCUUUAAGACUUUCUUAGUUGAUUUCUCAUAGAACUCCAACAUCUCUGAAAUUCUUUCAAGGAUUCAUCCAGGCUUCUUCAGGGAUUUCUCCACAUAUGCCUAUACAAUUACCACAGCAAUUUCUUCAAGAAUUUUUCCAAAAACUACUUUAGCGUUUCUUGUAGAUUUCUUGUCGUUCAGGAAUUCUUCCGGGUAUACCGUCAAAGAUUACGUAACAUAUUUCUUCAGAGGUUUUACUUGGAAUUCCACCAAUAAUCCCUUUAAAUAUUCUACCAUGAAUUUCUUGAAAAUGUUUUCCAUAGAUUGCUACAAACAUUCAUCCGGAGACUUUUUUUUAAGAAUUUCGGUUAGAAUACAGAAGGAGAAUUUCUAGAAGAAUACAUUAAAAAUGUCUACGGAACACCACCAAGAUUAAGAUUCUCACCUCAAAUUCGAUAAGGAAAUCACACUGAUGAAUCCUCUUCUCUUAGGAGCCUAGAACUGAACCUGCUGCCCAGCAUAGUGUUCUAUGAGUAUUUAUACAAUUAUUAACUGAAGGCUUUUUUGUAUAUUGCGUAGCAGGCACGAAGAUACUCUAUGUCAAAGGAAGCAAAGGAAAUUUCCUUGGAGAGAAGUUCCUGCACCUGGAAAUCGAAACCGUCAUCCUCAGUAUGUUUUUUACCGCAUCGGCUAUAUUUACAGGGGGUGCCCAAAAUGUUUGGGAUAGGUAACUUUUUUUCUCUCACAAAAAAAGUUCAACAUGCUGUAACUUUUCAUAGAGUGCAUCAAAAAUUCUCAAAUGUUGACUGCUUGUCAACCUAUUAUAUGUGCAUCAUUGGUACAAAUCUGAGCUGGAUUGGUUAAUCUUUCGCAAAGUUAGAACCGUUCUCGUAAAACACUAUUUUUAAGACAACUAAUUUUUUAUCUGUCAUAUAUCGGAAACCAGUGAACCGAAUUGAAUGAAAUUUUUACCGUUUAUCCAGAAUUUAUGUUGCAGAUUUAUUUAGGGCUUCCUCUAAGAGUUUUCCCAGUCAAUUCUUGAAGUAUUUCUGCACGAAUUUCAUUGACAAUUCAUCCAUCCAUACAUCAACUUCCUUUUGCGAUGCAUUUCUUCACUAAUUUCUCCAAAAAAUUUAUGUGUGAAGAACUAACCUAAAGGUUAAAAUUCACAAAAGAAAGAAGACACAAAGAAAAAUCCGAAAAAAAAACCAUCAGAUAUUUAUCCAAGAAUUUGCUUCAGAAAUUUCCUAUAUGAUUCUUCCACGAAUUCUUCUAGGACUUCCUUCAGGAAUCCAAAUGAAAUUUCUCCAGGAUGAAGAAAUUUCAAGAGUAAUUGCCGAAUAAAUUUUCAAGAAAAGCUAACUCGAAGCAGUUUACAAAAAAAAGCUACCUGUAACAUUUUCAAAUUUUCAAUUGCCGGAGCAACUUCCCAACCAAUAACCAAACAAGAGUUUCUGAAGAAAUUAAAGAGCAUUUCUAAAGGAAUUGGUCAAUUCAAUACCCCAAAAAAAUGCCGAAGAAGUUUCCAAAAAAGUUUUUGAAACAAUUUUAAAGGAACUACCGAAAUAAUCUCGAAAACAAAAAAUAUUGCCGUAGAAGUUACCGAAUGAAUUUUCAAGAAAUUUCGAAGAAAAUUACUGAAUCAAUUCCCGAAAAAAAUGUCUAAAAAGAUUCCACAGGAAUUGCUGAAGUAAUGCUAAAAAAUAUGCCAGAGUAAUAAUCAAAAAAGUUUGAAAAAAAUCACCCGAUAAAUUUUCUAAGGAAUCAAUUAUCUAAUUACGUAGAGAAUUAGCAUCAAUUCCCAGAGUAAUUACCGUACAAGUUUCCAGUGUAAUUACCGAAGAAGUUUCCAUAGUAUUUUCCAAAGACAUACCCGAAGAAUCUGCCGAAGAAAUUCAUAAAACAAAUAACUGCUUGAGAUUUAUUUUAAAUAUUGAGAAGUUAGAGAUUCAAAAAUUAAAUCAAAAAAAGUUCCAAAAGAAUUGCUGAAGGAACUCCUACAAGCAACGCUAACAAUUUUAUGAAUAAAUUUCCUUAAUAAUUUUCAUAGCAAUUACAGAGGGUAUUUUCAAAAGCAAUGCUGGAGGACUUUUCAAGUGAAUUGUCGUAUUUUCCAAGGAAUUCAUUAAGAAAUUUCCUGAAGCAAAUCUAUCAAAAGUUCCGAAGGAAUUACCAAAGUCAUUUCUGAAUAAAUUUUCAAAGGCAUUACCAAUGAAUUUCUCAAAAGAAUCAAAUGAGAAAUUUGAAAAUAAAUUGCCUAAAGAAUUACUAAAGCAAUGCCUGAAAUAAUUACCAAUAGACCGAUUACUAUAGAAAAUUCUGAGAAAAUUCCCGAAAGGAAUUGCCUAUUCAAUUUUCGAAGAUAUUCCUGUUUAUUUUUUGUGAUUAUUUCUAGAUUAUUUUAAACUUUUAGUCCAUCUGUAUACCAUCGGGGAUCAGGUAUCAGUAGGUCGCCUUUAGAGACACGUGAAGGCUCAGUUCCAGUUCCAGACUCCAGAGAAAAAGAAGGAUCCUAAGUGUGAGUUCCUUAACGAAUUUUAGGUAAGAAUCUUGGUGACGUUACGUAGACCAUUCUACUGUAUUCUUCUAGAAAUUUUUGACAAGUUUUGACUACGUCUUUGUCAAAAUAUACAAAUAUAUCAAGGAUAAUAUUUGUUCCAAUGUGUCUGUUUGUCGAAUCUCGACAUUUUUCUUUGUUUUUCGCUUUGGCACCGUCGAGAGUUCAGCAAACUUGUUUCUGGGCAAAAUCAAAACUGGUCAGCGAACCAACUGGAAGAAAACCGAAAUUCUAAACAAAAAUUCUGGAUGAAUGUGUGUAAUUGUAGAAUGAAUCAAUAGAGGAAUUACUGGAAAUUUCACGAAAAGAUGCCAAAGGAGUUGCUGAAAUAAUGCUAAAGUAAGGGUUUUCCGAAGACAUACGCAAAUCUCCAGAAAAAAAUUCAAAAAAUGUUUUUUUGGAAAAUUCCCAAAAAAAAAGAUUACGAAAAAAAUUUCUGAAGAAUUCUUAUAGCAAAGUUACAAAAGCAUUGCUGAAGUACUUUUCAAUGAAAUUAUCGGAAAUUGCUCAAAGAAAUUCCCGAAGAUAUGUUCAAUGGGAUUGAUUAAGAAAUUUCCAAAGGAAUUACCGAAUAAAUUAAAAAAAAAAUGCUGAAGCAAUUCCCGACUAGAAGAUUCUAACAACAAUAUAACAUAAUUAUAACAAACCAUGAUAUGUAUAACUCAUUGUGAUAUAAUCAUGUUUAAAAUCUCUUGUGUUUGAAAAUAUUAUAACUCAAUUGUAUCAUUUUAUGUUAUAAAUGUUGUUCAAUAACUCAUUGUGAAAUAAUUUAGUUCUGAUUCUUUGACAUUCAGAACAUCAUUUUACAGAAUUGUAUCAAAAUAUGAUAGAAACUAGUUUUAUGAAGCUAUGAUUUAUAUCAUAUUGUGUUAUAAUUUUGUUCUGAUUAUAACAAAAUAGGUUAUUAUUUUGAUUAGACCGGUGUACUUUUUGUUACAGUUUUAGUUAUUUUAACAUCAUCCUGCAUCUAGUUUAUAACAAAAUAAGUUAUAGAAAAAUUUCAUAUCAUCAUAACACAAGGUGUUAUAAGCUUGAUAUAUUUUUCUAGUCGGGUUCUGAAUAAAUUUUCAAGUCAUUUCUAAAUAAAAUUUUCAAAGGCAUUACCGGUGGAUUUGCCAAAGGAAUUAAAUGACAAAUUUUAAAAUAAAGUGCCCGAAGAAUUGCCAAAGGAAAGACGAAAGGAAUUGUUUCAAAUAAAAUUCUGAGAAAAUUCUCAAAAUUACCGACACAAUUUUCUAAGGUAUUGCUUUUUGAUUAGGAUCGACUGUAUAGUAACAUCAACCGUUUUCGGGUGACUUUUCAGUCUAGCUACUUGUUUAACUACGACGAUGAGUCUUAAUGAAAUUUCAGGCAAAAUCCAUGAAGGAAUAAGUGAACUCAACUUUCACAAAAUGCUUGAAUGAAUCAAUGGAGGAAUUCCUGGAGAAAUCUCCACACGAAUCCCCGAAGCAGUUCCUGGAAAAAUUGUUCUUUAAAUUCUUGGGGGAAUUUUACAGGUAUAUGUGGUCAAAUUCAUACAGAAGCCUGGAGGAAUCCUUGAAUUUUGAUUUGUCUUUAUUAGAGAGACUUUCAGCCCUUGGCUGGUUCGUCUCUAGGAAUCCUUGAAUGAAUUCCAGCGAAUGGAGGAAUUCUAUGAGAAAUCACGAAGAAAGAUUUGAAGAAAUGCCUGGACAAAUUCUUAGGCUAUUCAUGCCAAUAUUUUUGAAGAAAUUUCUGCAGGAAUCCUCAAAGAAUUCUUUAAGGUAACCCGGUAUAAACCAUAAAGAAGAAGUAAUCGUAUAGGAACUAACUAUUGAAGGAAUUCCUGAUGAAAUCUCUGAAAAAGUUCCUUGUUAAAUCCCAGAAAAAAUCCCUAGAGAAAUUUCUGAAAGAUUCUCAUUGAAAUAGAAUUCAUGAAGGUAUUCCUGGAAAAAUCUCUAAAGCAAUUUCUGAAGGAAGUCUAGUAGGGAUUCCUGGGAUCAUUGCAAGAAUUUCUGAAAGAAUCUCUUAAAGAAUUCCUGCAGGUUUUUUUUUGAUAAAAAUCCUGAAGAAAUUCCUGAUUUUUUUUUGAGGAAUCUUUGAAGGAAACCCUGGAAAAAUCCCUAAAGCAUGUCUUUAGUUUAGGGAUUUUUGAAUAAAUUUGGCAAGAAAUUCAAAGAGGAAUCUCCAAAGGUCUAGGUUCAGGCAAAAUCCCUGAAGGAAUAAGUGAAGUAAUCUUUGACGGUAUACCUGAAUAAAGCAACGGAAAAAUUCCUGUAGGAAUCUCUGUAAAAAUCUCUGAAGCAAUUCCUGGAAAAAUUCUUCAAGAAAUUCCUGGAAAAAUCUUCAAAAAAUUCCUGGAGGAAUUUUACAGGUAUAUGUGGAGGAGUCCCUACAGAAGCCUGGAAGAAUCCUUGAAUGAAUUUCAGGGAAUGGAGGAAUUCUAUGGAAAAUCAACGGAGAAUGUUUUCAAGAAAUUUCUAGAGAGAUCCCUUAGGCUAUGUUCAUAUUUUUGAAAAAAUUCCUGCAGGAAUUAUGGCGAAAUCCCUAAAGGAAUUCGUAAGAAGGGAUCCCGGAAUAAAGAAGAAGAAAUCGUGCAGGAACUCUAGAAAGAAUUCCUGAGGGAAUCCCUGGAAAAGUUCGUGGAGGAAUCUCGGAAGAAAUGGCUGGGCAUAUCCCUGAUAAACUCAGACCUUUCUGACAGAAUCUCAUGGAAAUGAAGUUUAUGAAGGUAUUCCUGGACUAAUCUUUAGAGCAGUCCCUGAUGGAAGUCUUGAGGGAUCCCCGAAAGAAUUCCUGGAACGAUCAUUGCAGGGAAUUCUGAAAGAAUCUCUUAGGGAUUUCCUGUUGGCAUCUUUGAUAAAAAUCCUGGAAAACUUCCAGGAAAAAAAAUCUUGGAGGAUUCUUUGAAGGAAUCCCUGGAAUAAUCCCUGAAGCAUAGCUUUCUAGUUUUCGUUUUGCGAUCCAAGGCAUACCUAAAGUAAGUGAAGGAGAAAUUCCGGAAUAUUUUUUGCAAGAAUUUCUGGAAGAAAACUAAUUUGCAUAGAAAUCUUUAUGAUAGAAAUUCUGGAGAAAUUGCUGAAGAAACUUCUAAGCCUUGGAUGAUUCCCUUGGAAAUCUCGAAAACUUGAGAAAAAUUCAAAAACAUUACUGUUUUUGAAUUGUCCUAGAUAUCAACUGAAUUUCCACAAUACAUAUUUGACAAUUUUGAUAUUUUAACUGAGAUACCAUCCCAGGUGAGCGUCACAUCAAUCGAGAAUCCUUCACCUAGAAAAGCAAAAACAGCAGCAGCAACAGCCUGUAGCACGCUUCAGUUGUCGUCGUCUUGGAAAAUCUUUGACAAGAACUCACUUUCGAAGGGGGAGAACCAUGCACACAGCCAGCAGCUGAUUUUGGAAUCCUCCACCUCUUCCCCUAACGUUGCUGCCCACCCUCCGCAAUACCACAUACAACAAGGGUGGCAGCCUGUUGCUAUGUUGCCGGGUGGGGGUACUGCCUGCGUAAGAGAGAUGAUAGGAAAUUUCCAUUCCAAUUUCCUCCCACGCGUUCUCGUCGAAGGAGCGAACACAGGACAUCAUCCACCGAACAUGCCGGAAUUUGUUGUUGUUGUUUUCCGCUUCGAAACAUAUUUUGUUUGUUUUUUUUGUUCGGUCCUCCAGGGCAAAAGAAAGCGAAGAGGUUUGCUGGAAAACUGCUCGCCCUUUAUCAUUGGGCCAUUAUUGCCAAUCUUGAGUUGUCUUCCCCCGACCCACACGCGUGCCCCCUCCCCCUUCUGCACAAUGUUCGUCCUUGUCUUCGUUCGCUUUUCCUGGAACGAUUCUUGAGCUCCGGCACGAAUUCGGCUUUCCAGGAAACCGCCCAAAUUUGGGCCCCAUUUCGCUCUCGCUCUUUGCUCACGUUUUCCCACGUGUUCUCUCACUUGUUGACGACGGACGACGGAUGUUCAUAAUCAAACUCUACAGAGCCUAGCUCUCACGACCAGUACCUGUACCAGCAGGGACAUGGGGGCUGGCAGGCAGCCAGCAGUCGUCUGCCACAUUUGUGGUUGUCCCUGGUCGCUCCGGGCCCUGCUUAGUCGGAAUCGGUUGGAAUUCUACUGCAGAACUGAUGGGCCGCCGAACUGGCGAGGGAGCCAAGAAGGGAGUGCCGACGGACGCAGCAUGCUGAUAACCGGGGAAAGGUAAUUUUCUGAGCGAACAUGGUUCACCUGGCGUCGCCGGAUUACUCUGGACCGGGUUGCCAGGAUUUCUGUAGUGCAUGAAGUUGUGUUCUCUGGGAAGGUCGAGUUUAUAAAAAAAAAACUAUAGAUUCGUCAAAAUAUAAGUAAGAACCUGGAUCGUAUUUUAACUCUACUUAAAAAAAAGCUGGGUUUGCUUUUCAUCUCUGAACAAGUGUGUACAAAUAGUUACGAUUACGAUUUAAUAAUAAAUUAAUAAAUUACGUAAAUUCUCGAAUACUUUUUCAAAUAGACGUAUAAUACACUCAAAUCCUAUGUUGAUACGCCUGUUUGAAUAACAACGAAAAUGGUCCACUUUUCAGACUUUCAAGGUGUAUAACCCCUUUAUUCCUGCUAGGAUUUCUUUCAGGAAUUCCUAAUGAGGAUUCUUCUACAAACUCCUUCAGCAGGAGUGCUUUCUGAGGAUUCCAUCAAGAAAUUCCUCUGAGGGUUCCUCCACGUCGUCUGUUGAUUCCUCCGUAUUCCUUCAUGGAUACCUGCUGAUAAUUUAUCCAGGGAUUGCUUCAGAAGUUUUAAGGUACUACCUUUGAGAAUGCCAAUUAAAGCUCAUUUAUCAUUUGGCACUCAAACAUGCAUCACCACUAAGAUUCACUGAAUAUGUUUCGACAGAACACUUUGAAAGUAUACUAAAAUGAAUCUGUGAAGUAAUUCCAGAAGAAAUCCGUGAAAGAAUGCUGGGUAAAAUUUCUGAAAGAAUCCUUUCAGGAUUUUCUGAAGCAAUUCUUGCAGAAAUCCCUGAAGUUAUUCCUGAAGGAAUCCCUGAGAAUACCUGAUGUAUUCCUUAGAGAGAUCAUGAUAGGAAUGCCGGCCAGAAGCUAAGCAGGCGUUCCUGCAAGAACCAUAGAAGAUGUCUCUAUGAUCUAGGGUUGCCUGAAAACAAUCUCGGAAGAAACAUAUAUUUUUUCAAUUUUUUUUUCGGGAGGGAUCCCAUAACGAAUAACAGCAGGAAUCAUGGAAAGAAUCUUCAAAGGAAUUCCAGCACAAAUCCCUGAAGAAUGCAGAAAAGAAUAACUAACAGAAUCCUUUCAGGAUUUUCCAAAACAACGCCUGCAAAAAUCCCUGAAGAGAACUCCGCAGCAAUCCAUACAGCAAUCUCGGAAGCAAUAUCUUAACCCUCUAAUACCCAAAUUUUUGAUUUUGAUCUAAAUAUCAUUUUUCGUCAUCUAAAAUCGAUUUAAACAUGUUUUGGAAGAUGAUUCUUUUUAAUUCUUAAUUUCGUGAAUUUCAGUUUUUGAUUUUUCUAAUUUUUAUUUUUGAACAUCCCCAUACUUUUAUAUUUUUCCUGUAAGCCAAUACCGUACCUCAAGGAUUUUUUGAGAUGAAAACAUUUUGAGAUUUUAUGAUUAUUGUUGAAAUAUUAUUAUUUUAAAUUUUUUUCACAGAAAAUUUUAUUUUCCGUGUAAUUUUAAGGAAAAUAAUUUUAGAGUGUAUUCGAUUCCCUUAAACUAUUAAACAAGGAUAGAAUGAUUUGGGAAAAAUUUAAAAUAUGUUAAUUGUAGCGAUUCAAUACAAAAUAAACAAUGACUUCUAAAAGGUGACUAAAACAUCAAUUUAAAUACGCUUUAAAAUACAUCAAAAACCAUUUUGAGAUAUACAGAACAGUCCUAAAUAUCAGCCAAAAAUAUAAAAAAUUUGAUUUUCCACGAAACAAAAAUUACAAAAAUGCUUAAAUUAUACCCCGUCUAAAGGCGGGAUUGGGUAUUAGAGGGUUAAGGAAUCUCGGGAAUAAACCUGAGAAGAUUCUCGAAAGGAAUGCCUGAAGAAAUCCUGGAAAGAAUUCCUGAAGAUAUCUCAAAAAAGAACCUCAGCUCAUCUAAUCUCAUCUCAAUUCUUCACCCUAUUCUCUAGCCUCUACCUUUGCCCUCUAUUCCAACCCUCUAUCCUACGCUCUAUCAUAACCUUCAACCCUACCAUCUGCCCUACCCUCUAAACUAUCCUCUACUACAGUGAUAGACAUUCGUUUAGCCGAGACCAAAAAAAGUGUCAGGAAACCCAUACAAAAGAUUUUAUAAUAAAACUUUUUUAUCGUAGUGAUAGUAUAUCUAGUGCUGUUUUCUAAAAAUGUGAUACAUCACACUUACAUAUAUUAUACACUGAAACAAAAACGAGGGUAAAAACCCUUCAAAUGUCAUUUUUUGCCUAGACAUUCGUUUAGCCGAGGUAAAUGAAAAAUUGGUUUUCAAUAGUUUUUUUUUGCAAUUUCGUGAGUAUAUUUCGAGGAUAUACUCCAAGGCAUUUAGUUUAUGACGUGUUAGCAAGAUAAUUGCCCUUAAAAGUUUAUUUAUUUGUGAAAUUCAGAGAAAUAUUAUAAAAAAAUGUCCCGAUAAGGAGAAGCGACGAUAAACAAAUUUAUUUAAGGAAAAUGAUUUCUGUAAACACUCAAACGUAAGCUAGAUUAGCAGUUUUGAAAAUAUGGUACAGAGUUAUUGUUAGAAAUGUUCAAAUUAUUGCAUAAAAUGUCAUGAAAAAAUUAAGUAUACUAGUUUUUGGAUGUUUUAACUUUAAAAUGGGAUUGAUAAAAGCUAAAAUAAAUAAUUCUGCAUUGGAAUAAAGACGUGCCCUAAUGCCUGUGGAGUAUACCUGUUUGAUACUCGCAUUACUAAAUGAGUUAGAAGACUGCUAAGUGAAAGAACUGCAAGUAGUGUCAGAAUUUUUGUACCCUGUUUAUUUAAAAGAAGCUGGUCAUACAAAAAUGCAAGAUAUGGUCAAACAGUUGGAUUAUUUCAUUCAAUCUGAAGAAAUAUAUUAUAAAUGAGACUAAGUUGUGAACCACAUUCGUUUUUAACAUGAUUUAUUUGAAAAGAAUGUCUAAAUUAUGAAACAAGUAGUUCAUGCUAAAAAUUUGAAUACUUUCGGUGCCAUUUCUCGAAAUAUGAACCGUCCAAUGUAUGUUAUUUCAGGCAGAAUACAGUCUGAAAGACAUUUGGAGCUAAUAGAAGACAUAAUAGUAGUAAACGCUAUGAUUUAUGCAAGUGAAACCAUAAUAUUUCAUCAAAACAAUACCUAAAUACGUGAUUUUUUGACGGUUUGCGUUAUUUUUUUUCUGUUAAAACAUUAUUUUUCGUAAAUUUUCAGCCUACUUUGGUCAUGAAACUUUCAUUGCAUUCUUUUGAAACACUUCCGAUAAAAAUAACUACAUCAAAUCUCAAUUUGGAAACAUUUACAAUAUAAUGACAUAUUUAUAUGAGAUGCAUGCAAAAUUAAUAUGGCAACACUUCCAAAAACGACCUAAUUCAUGAUUUUCAAGUCGAUCUAUAAUGCAGGUCACCAUACAAAAUGACUUUGUUGGAUAUUUUUUGAAAUUUGUUAGUUUUUUAUUAUGGAAUUCUAAAAAAUGUUCAAUUCGGCUAAACGAAUGUCUAGGCAAAAAAUGACAUUUGAAGGGUUUUACCCUCGUUUUUGUUUAAGUGUAUAUGUAAGUAUGAUGUAUCACAUUUUUAUAAAACAGUACUAGAUAUACUAUCACUACGAUAAAAAAAGUUUUAUCAUAAACACUUUUGUAUGGGUUUCCUGACACUUUUUUGAAAAUUUUUUACCCUCGGCUAAACGAAUGUCUAUCACUGUAUAACCACUGCCCUAUCCUUUACCGUACCCUCUAGUCUAUAUUAUGCUCAAUCGUACCGUCUACCCUACUCUCUACCUAAACAUUUUUCCUACCCUCAAACCUACUCUUUAUUCUACCCUUCUCCCUAUUGUCUACCCUAUCCUCUAUCCUAACCUUCUACUCCACUCCCUCUACUCUAUCCUUCACCGAAACCCUCUACUCGACCGUCUGCUCCACCCUUUAUCCUACCCGCUACCCUACCAUCUACCCUUUAGAUACCCAUUAGCCUGGUACAUGGUUUAUAUGGGAAAAUACAAAAAAUGGGAAAACUCAAGUUCCUGUAUACUUUUUGAGUUCCACUUUGGUCCCAUAUCAACUGUGCAAAAUUUCAGAUCGAUCGGAAAAACUAUAUUUUAGCGCCCGCCAUUCUUGGUUUUUCAUACGAUUUACUAUGGGGAAAUAUUACUCCUGCAAAGAAAAAUCGCUAGGAGUCACCCCUAGAUCCCUAAAAAUAAGUCGACGAAUGAUCUCUGUAGAAAACUUCACUAGGAAUCAGACCUCUGAAGACAGCAAAUCGAUGCGACGUUCGUGGGAAAAGUUAUUAGGCUUCACCCGAUCGAUAAAAUAACGAGAUUUUAUUAUUUAUUGUUAUUCCUUACAUGUUAAACAGCGUUUGCAUGCCAUUCGGUUUUCAGUCAAUAACUUUUUUCACAUGCCUCAGAUCGCUUUGCGGUCUUCGGAGGGUUGGUUCCACGUAAAAUUUCCAACAUAAAUUAUUCAUCGUAUUAUUUAGGGGUUAAGGCGCAACCUGUGGCGAUUUUUCUUUGAAAAAGUGAUUUUCCCCAUAGUAAAUCGUAUGAAAACUUAAAACGGCUGGCGCUAAAAUAUAGUUUCUCCGAUCGAGUCACUAGCGUGCGCAGGGUUCUUGCUUAGGGGGGGCACCAUAAUAAUGGUGCAAUAUAUGUAUGAUCAUGGUGCAAAAUAUAAUUAUGGUGUUACAAGCAAUAUGGUGGUGGUGCUAACAUCGCCAAGUACUUCAUAAUGGGAUUCUGGAGAAAGCUUCGGAUGAUGAUGAUUUCAAGGCAUUACGAAACUUUGAUAUGAAGUCAUUAUCUCGACUCUUAUAAAAUUUUAUAAACGUUUCAAAUACAAUGGAGAAUAUCGAGAAAAUUAUCAAUUAUAGAAAAAAAAUAUUGUCGUUGUGAAUUGGAGUUGCAACUAGUGAUUUCUUCCAGGAAUUCCUCCACGGAUUCCUGCAGAAAAUCCUAAAGGAAUUUCUUCCAAAACUCUUCCAGGAAUACCUCCAGGAAUUUCUUUAGAUUUUUUUUUCAGAAAUUUCUUCAGGAGUUUCCUUUAGGAAUUCCUCGAGGAGUUCUUUCAGACAUUUCCUCAGGAAGCCUCAUAUAUUUCUCCAGAAAUUACUCAAAUAAAUCCUCCAGGAAUUCCUCCAGUAAAUACUCCUCCAGGAAUUCCUCCAGAGAUCUCUCCUGACAUUUUUCUAGGAAAAAUCCUGAAUGUCUGCCUGUCAGAAUUUCCCCAAUAUUUCCUCCACGGAUGCCUCCAUAACAUGCUAAAGGAAUUUCUUACGGAAUUAUUCCAGGUAUUCCUCAAGAAAUUUCUCCAAGGAUUCUUCCAUGGAUUCCUCCAGGAAAUUAUCAAACAACUUCAUCAAGAAUUCUUCCAGGGAUCAUCCCAUGAAUUUUUUUCAGAAGUUUCACAAAAAAUCCUCCAGAAAUUCCACCAGGAAUUCUUUCAGAAAUUUGUCGAGGAAGAACUCCUGAAAUUCCUCCAGCAACUCCUCUAGGAAAUUCUGCCUGAGUUCCCCAAGAAUGUCUCCCGGAACCCUUCCAAGAAUUUCUCGAGGAAUUCCACAAGAAAUUUGUCCAGGAAAUCCUCCACGGAUUCCUUCAGGAAUUUCUUCAGGAUUUUUUCCAGCAAUUUAUCCAAGAAUUCAUGCAGGAUUUCAUUCAUAAAUUUCUUCAGAAAUUCCUCAAAAAUUCCUCCAGGUAUUCCUUCAGAAUUUGCUCGAGUAGUUCUUUCACACAUUCCAGAAAUUUCUCCGAGAUGCCUCCAGGGAUUUCUCCCCGAAAUUCAUCCAUGAACUCCACCAGAAAAUCCUAAAGUAAUUUCACCCGAAACUCUUCCAGGAAUUCCUCCAGGAGUUCCUUGAAUGAUUCCGCGAGAAAUUCCACCAGGGAAUCCUCCACGGAAUCCCCUAGGAAUUUCUCCAGGAUUUUUUCCUGAAAUUUCUUCCGGAAUUCCUCCAGGGAUGCAAUAAUGAAUGUCUUCAGAAAUUCCUCCAGAUAUUCCUUCAGAAAUUCCUCGAGAAGUUUCUUCAGACAUUCCUCCAUUAAUCUUCCAGGAAGCCUCAUAUAUUUCACCAUAAAUUCCUCAAAUAAUUCCUCUGGAAAUUUUCUUUUAGGAAUGACUGUCAGAAAUCCUACAAUUUUUCUCCUAGGGAUUUCUCUAAGAAUUGAUCCUCGAUCCUGAGCAUUCCUCCAGAUAAUCCUAGAUGAAUUUUUAACGGAACUCUUCCAGGAAUUCCUCUUAGAAUUCCUCGAAAAAUUCCCCCAUGGACUCCUCCAGGAAAUUCUCAAGGCAUUUCUUCAGAAAUUCCUCCGAGGAUUCACCCAUGAAUUUCUUCAGAAAUUCCGCAAAAAUUCCUCCGGGAAUUCUUUCAGAAAUUUCUUAAGGAAGAGCGCCAGAAAUUCUACCAGGAACUCCUCCAGGGAUUCCUCUAAAAAAUCCUCCGGGAAUUUUCACCAAAACUACAGGGAUUUCUCCUUGCAUUCCUCAAAGAAUUCCUCCAGAACUUUUUCUUGCAGUUUCUCAAGGAGUUCCUGCAGGGAUUCGUUAAAAAAUCUCUUCAGAAAUUCUUUUAAAAAAUCCUGCAGAAAUUCCUCCAGAAAUUCCUUCAGAAAUUUCUCGAGGAGUUCCUUCAGAAAUUUCUCCAUGAAGCCUCAUAUAUUUCUCCAGAAUUUCCCCCCUCCAGGAAUUCCUCCAGUAAAUACUCCAGAAAUUUCUUCAGAAUUCCCUCCAGGAAUUCCUCCAGAAUAACCCCCAGGAAUUCCUCCAGAGAUUCCUCAUGAAAUUUCUUGUAGAGAAAAUCCUCUAGGAAUGUCUGCCAGAAUUUCCUCAAUAUUUCCUCCAGGGAUUCUUCAAGGAAUUGCUCUACAGAUUCCUCCAGAAAAUCCUAAAGGAAUUUCUACCGGAACUCUUCCAGGAUUUCCUCCUGAAAUUUCUCGAGCAAUUCUUCAAUGGAUUCGUCCAGGAAAUUCUCAAGGACUUCUUCAGAGAUUCAUUCCUUCAACGAUUUAUUCUUGAAUUUCUUCAAAAAUUCAUCCAGAAAUACCUCCAGGAAUUUCUCCAGAAAAUCCUCUAGGAAUUUCUGUUAGAAUUCCUCCAGAGAAUCUUAAAGGAAUGUCUCCCGGAACCCUUCCAAGAAAUCCUUCAGGGAUACCUCCAUGGAUUCCUCCAGGAAUUUCUCAAUGAUUUUUUUUAGGAACUCCUUCAGAAAUUCCUUCCUCCAUGGAUUCCACCAGAAAUUUCUCAAGGCAUUUACCCAGGGGUUUUUCCAGGAAAUCCUUCACGGAAUCCUCCACAUAAUCCUCAAUCAAUUUCUCCCAGAACUCUUCUAAGAAUUCCUCCAGGGAUACUUCCAUGGAAUCCUCAUGAAAUACCCCCAGGGAUUGCUGCCGGAAUUCCUACAGAAAAUUCUCUAAGAAUUUCUGCCAGAAUUCCUCCAAUAUUGUCUCCAGGGGUUCUUCCAGCAAUUCCUCGACUAAUUCCUCCAGAAAAUCCUAAAAGAUUUUUCCCCGGAUCUUUUCCGGGAAUUUAUCUAGGAAUUUCUCCAGAGAUUUCUCCAUGGAUUCCUCCGAAAUUUCUUCGGGAAUUCAUCCAUGAGUUUCUUCAGAAAUUGCUAAAAAAAAUCCUUUAUUAAUUCCUUGAGGAGCUCCUCUAGACAUUCCUCCAGGAAGCUUUAAAUAUUUGUCCAGAAAUGCCUUAAAGAAUUCAUCCAGGAAUUUCUAGUUAUUCCUCUAAGAAUUCAUAAAUGAAUUCCUCCAAAAAAUUCUGGAGGAAUUUCUCCAGAAAUACCUCCCGGAAUGCAAACAUGGAUUCUUCCAGAAAUUUCUCCAGAGAUUCCUGAAGAAAAUCAUCCAGGAACUUCUCCAGGAAUUCCUCCAGGAAUGUUUCGCAAAAAAUACCUCAAAGAAUUCCUUCGGGAAUUCCUCCAGGAAUUCCUCCAUUCAUUCCUUCAAAAAUUUCUUCAGUAAUUCCAUCUUGAAUUUCUACAGGGAUUCCUCCAGGAUUUUCAUCAAGGAUACCUUAAGGAAUUCCUGCUCGGAUUUCUCCAGAAAAUCCUGAAGAAAUUUCUCCCGGAACUCUUCCAGGAAUUCCUCGAGAAUUUUUUCCAGGGAUUUCUACAGAAUUUUCAUAUCUGGAAUUUUUCCAGGAAUCUCUCCAGAAAUUUGUCCUGGGACAACUAUAAAAAAAAUCCUUAGUUUUGCUCCAGAAAAUCCUCAAAAAAAAUCUUCAUGGAUACCCCCAAGAAUUCCUCUAGGUAUUCCUCCAAGAGUUUAUCCACGGAUUUCUCCAGAAAAAAAACUUCUCCUGGAACUGUUCCAGGAAUUCCUCUAGGAAUUCUUCGAAGAAUUUCUCCAGGGAUUCCUCCAUGAAUUUCGCCAGGGAUUCCUCCAUGAAUUUCUUCAGAUAUUCCUCAAAAAUCUCUCUAGGAAAUCUUUCAGAAAUUGCUCGAGGAGUUCCUUAAAUCAUUCCUCCAGGAAGCCGCAAAUAUUUUUCCAGAUUUUUUUCAAAAAAUUCCUUCAGGAAAUCCUGCAGAAAUUUUUCCAGGAAUUCCUUCAUUUUUCAGGAAUUUCUCCAGAACAAUCUUUAAGGAUUCUUCCAGAAAUUUCUCUAUGAAUUCUCCAGGGAUUCAUCCUUGAAUUCUUUCACAGAUUCCUUUAGGAAUCCCUCCUAGGAUUACAGCAGGGAUUUUUCCCGGAACUUUUCUGGGUAUUUCUCUAGGAAUUCCAUUAGGGAUUUCUCCAUGGAUUCCUCCAUGAAUUUCUUCGGGAAUUCAUCCAGGAGUCCAUCCACGAGUUUCUUCAGAAAUUACUCAAAAAAAUCCUUCACAAAUUCCUCGAAGAGUUCCUCUAGAAAUUCCUCCAGGAAGCCUUAAAUAUUUGUCCAGAAAUUCCUUAAAGAAUUCAUCCAGGAAUUUCUUUAGAUGUUCCACGAAAAAAAUCUUCAGGAAUUUAUCCAGAAAUACCUCCCGGAAUGCAAACAUGGAUUCCUCCAGGAAUUUCUCCAAAGAUUCCUCAAGAAAAUCUUCCAGGAAUUUCUCCAGGAAUGUUUCGCAAAAAAUACCUCAAAGAAUUCUUUCGGAAAUUGCUCCAGGAAUUCCUCCAUUAUUACUUCUAAAAUUCCUUCGUUAAUUUCAUCUUGAAUACCUCCGGGAAUUUCUACAGAGAUUCCUCCAGGAAUUUCUGCAAGGACUCCUAUAGGAAUUCCUGCUCGGAUUUAUCCAGAAAAUCCUGAAGAAAUUUCUCCCGGAACUCUUCCAGGAAUUCCUCGACCAAUUGCUCCAGGGAUUUCUACAGACACUUUUUCAGGAUUUUUUUUCUGGAAUUUUUCAAGGAAUCUCCAGAAAUUUCUCCUGGGACAACUAUGAAAAUUUCUCUUUUAAUUGCUCCAGAAAAUCAUCUAAAAAAUUCUUCAUGGAUUCCUCCAAGAAUUCCUCUAGGUAUUCCUACAAGAAUUUAUCCAUGAAUUUCUCAAGAAAAAAACUUCUCCUGGAACUGUUCCAGGAAUUCCUCGAAAAAUUUCUUCAGGUAUUCCUCCAUAGAUUUCGCCAGGAAUUUCUCCAGGAAUUUCAUAAGGAAUUCCUCCAGGGAUUCUUCAAUGAAUUUCUUCAGAUAUUCCUCAAAAAUCCCUCUAGGAAUUCUUUUGCUCGAGGAGUUCGUUUAAUCCUUCCAGGAAGCCGCAAAUAUUUUUCCAGAAAUUUUUCAAAGAAUUCCUUCAGGAAAUCCUCCAGAAAUUCUUCCAGGAAUUCCUACAUUUUUUAGAAAUUUCUCCAGAAAAACCUCUAGGGAUUCUUGCAGAAGUAGUAAUUCUCCAGGGAUUCAUCCUUGAAUUCCUUUGCGGAUUCCUUCAAGAAUUCCUCCUAGGAUUACAGCAGGGAUUUUUCCAGGAAUUUUCCAAAACUUUCUCUAGGAUUUCCUCUAUGAAUGUCUCCAGGGAUUCAGCCAAGUACUCCUCCUGAAAAUCCUCCAGAAAUUCUUCCAAUAAUUCUUGAAAGAAUGCCUCCAGAAAUUCCUCCAAGAAAUUUUUCACGGAUUCUUCCAAACAUUCCUUCAGGAAUGCCUCCACUGAUUCCACCAGAAAUUGCUCCACAAAUUCCUCCAGAGAAUUUUCCAGUAAUUUCUGCAAGGAUUCGUCAUUGAAUUCCUCGAGUAAUUCUUCCACAAAUUCAUGCAGGAAUUUUUCCAAAAAAUCCUUCAGGAAUUCCUCCAGCAAUUCAUCCUGGAAUUCCUCCAUGGAUUCUUUCAUGGAUUCCUUCAUAGAUUCCUUCUGUUACCCCUCCGGUGUUUCGUCCUGUAAUUCCUUCACGUAUUCCUUCAGAAAUUCCUCCAGGUAUUUCAUCAGGGAUUUCACCAGGAAUUUCUCAUAGCUUCCUCCAGGAAUUCUUAGAAACUCCUCCAAAUGUCUCUCCAGAAAUUUCCUCAGGGAUUCCUGCAGAAAUUCCUCCGGACAUUCUUCCAGAAGUUCCUCCAGGCAUUCUUCCAAGGAUUCCUUCAGGAAUGCCUUCAGAGAUUCCUCCAGAAAUUCUUCCAGGAAUUCCUCCAGGGUUUCUUCCAGGAAUGCCUCCAGAGUUUACUCUAGGAAAUCUUCCAGGGGUUCGUCAAUGAGCCCUUGCUGGAACUCUUCGAGAAAUUUGUCCAAGACUUUUUGGAAAUAUUUCUCCACAAAUUCCUCUGUGAAUUCUUUCACGAAUUCCUCUACGGAUUCCCCCAGCAAAUUCUUCAAGGAUUCCUUUAGGAAUGCCUCCAGAGAAUUCCUUUCAAUAAUUUUUCCAGCAAUUCCUUUAGUAGCUCCUCCUGCAAAUUCUACAGGAAUUUCUUAACUCCUCUUCCAGUUUUUGAGAGCUUUUUUCAAGAAUUUUUUCAAGCACUUCUUUAAUAAUGUCUUCAGGGAUUCCUCCAGAAAGUCCUUCAAGGAUUCCCCCUGAAAUUUCUCCAGGGAUUUCUCCUAGAAUGCCUCCACGAAUUACUCCAGAUAUUUCUCGAGGUGGUAACGUGAUUCUGAAAAUGAUCCACGGAAUGCUAUUUUGAUGCGCGAAUCACAAAAUGGUAUAUAAAAUUCAAUUGUGGAUGAUACAAUGAACACCAAGAAGGUGUAUAGAAUUUUAAAAAGGUGUGUGAUGUGAGUAUGGUUAUAUACCUCAAUGGUCAAGGGAACGUCGAGAUAAUGCAUGCGUGGCAAGUAAUUGCAAUUUGAUUUAUAGAAUGCUAAGAUAAAACAUGAGAUUUGGAGAUGGUGUAAACAUAAAAAUGUUGGUGCUGCGUGAACAUUAAAUUGCGUGCGGCAAUAAAGGUGCAUGAUGUCACCGUAGUGUAUAGGAUCUUCUAAUAACACUGAGUUCAUUGGUAUGGUGCAUUGAAUGCUGAUAUGGAACAUGUCAUUCAAAGAUGGUGCUUGAUGUCAGUAUGCAGCAUUAGAGUUGACAUCGUACAAGAAAUGCUAUUUCGAUGUACGAAACUACAUACAAUAAUAAUGGUGCAAUAGAUACCUAGAUGAUAUAGUGAACGCCACGAUUACGCAUUAAAUGCUUUAGUAAUGCAUGAAAUUUAACGAUGGUGCCUUAUUUCGCAAUUAGAUACAUAUUUGAUUCAAAGAUGGUGCGUGAGAUGUUGCCUAGAUGAUUCUGUGAACAUCAUGGUGGUGCAUGAUGUCUGUAUGGUGCAUUAGCUUCACCAUGAUUCUGUUAUACUCGUCAUGUUUCAUAUUUAGGUGCACUUGCAAUUCGUGCAAAGGUGCAGGAAACUCAAUGUGGCACAGAAAUCAACAUGUUCCAGGUACGUGGAAUACUAUUUUGUAUGCGAAAUGCCAAAAUGGUGCAUCAAAUUCAAAUGUAAACCACAUCAUAAUGGUGCACAAGAUACCUAGAUGGUUAAUGAAUGCCAAAAUGGUGCAUCAAAUUCAAAUGUAAACCACAUCAUAAUGGUGCAUAAGAUACCUAGAUGGUAUAAUGAAUGCCAAAAUGGUGCAUGGAAGGCUUGGAAGAAGGCGUAUGAUGCUUGUGAGCUACAUUAGUUGUCUCCGUUAUUCAAAGAUUAUCAACAUGUUGCAUGGUUAGGUGCACGAAUUGCAAAAAUGGUGCAUAGAAUACAAAAUAAAAGUAUUUUAUGUGAUGCUUACAACAUAAUGGUGCAUCAGAUGCCUAGAUAAUAUAAUAAACGCUGAAAUGGUGCUUGGAAAGCUUUGAUGGUGCAUGAAAUUUAAUGAUGGUGCAUAUCAGUAUGAUGCAUUAGAUUCCUAGUUGAUUCAAAGAUAGUGCAUGAGAUCAGCAUAAUGCGUGGAUACCUAGAUCAUUCUGUGGAUGCUUUGAACAAGGUACAUGAUGUUAGUGUGCUGUAUUAGUUGUCACCGUUAUUCAGCGACACUCGAUAUUGUGUAUGGCUAGGUGCACGAAUUGCAAAAAUGGUGCUUGGAAUUCAAUGUAGUGCCGAAGUCACCAUGGUUCACGUACAUGGAUUACAGCUUUGGAAAACGAAAUGCCAAAAUGGUGCAUGUUAUUCGAAUAUGGUGCUCACAUCACUGAUUAGUUGAAAGAUGGUGCGUGAGAUUAGCCUAAAAAUGAUUGUGAGAACAUCACGGUUGUUCAUGAGACACUAAUAAAUUGUAUGUAUCAGGGGUGCAUUUGUUGCCACCAUGAUUCAAUGAUUCUCAGCAUUGGGUGGUUAGAUCUAAAAUUAAGAAUUGCAAAAAUGAUGCAUAGAAUUUAAUGUGGUGCGGAAGUCAACAUGGAUCAGGUACCGUCUACCCCCGUUGGUUUGAACGACACCUCAUGCAAACCAUCGAGGUUCAUUUUUAAUUUGAACUUCUAGUUACCCUGUCGGCAUCGAAAAACACACGGAUGGUAACCCUUUUUGCAGUUUUGUUUUGAUUCUGCGUUCCGUUUCACCCCGUUCCAUAAGGUACAAGGAAUGCUAUUUUGUAUGCGAAAUGCCAAAAUGGUGCAUCAAAUUCACUUGUGAACCACAUCAUAAUGGUGCAUAAGAUGCCUAGAUGAUAUAGUCAAUGCCAAAAUGGUGGUUGGAAAGCUUUGAAGAAGGUGCAUGAUACUAGAUGAUGCAUUAGUUGUCACCGUUUUUCAAAGCUUAUGCUUAGGUGCACGAAUUGGAAAAAUGGUGCAUAGCAUACAAAAAAAUGUAUUUUGUGUGAUGCUCACGGCAUUACAGUGCUUUAGAUGCCUAGAUAAUAUGAUAAACGCUGAAAUGGUGCUUGAAGAGCUGUGAUGGUGCAUGAAAUUUCAUGAUGGUGCAUAUCAGUAUGAGGUAUUAGAUAUCUAACUGAUAAAAAGACAUUUCAUGCGAUCAUCAUAAUGCGUGGAUACCUAGAUCAUUCUGUGGACAUCAUGAUGGUGCAUUGAAAGUUUUGAAGAAGGUGCAUGAUGUUAGUGUGCUGUAUUAAUCGUCACUGUUAUUCAGUGAUACUCGUUAUUUUGUAUGGCUAGGUGCACGAAUUGCAAAAAUGGUGCUCAGAAUUCAAUGUGGUGCCGAAGUCACCAUGGUUCACGUACAUGGAAUACAGUUUUGGAAUACAAAAUGCCAAAAUGGUGCAUGUUUUUUCAAAUGUGGUGCUGACAUCACUGAUUAGUUAGAAGAUGGUGUGUGAGUUUAGCCUAGAUGAUUUUGAGAACAUCAUGGUUGUGCAUGAGAUACUAAGAAAUUGUAUGUGUCAAUGAUGCACCAUAGCUCAAUGAUUCUCAACAUUGCGUGGUAAGGUGCAAGAAUUGCAAAAAUGGUGCAUAGAUUUUUUUUAUAGAAGGGGGGGCAAGUGCCCCCCCUUGCCCCCCCCUGUGCACGCUAGUGGAUCGAGUUGAAAUUUUGCCCAGUUGAUAUGGGGCCAAAAUGGAACUCAAAAAGUGUACAGGAGUAAAAUGUCUUUUCGUGUCCCACCCUAAUGUUCAUAGCCAUCGCUAGAACCAGAAACGAAUUGAAGAACAGUCGUUUCCCUCCCUUCCAACUUCCACUCAAAGCACAGUGUAUAUAUAACGCCUACAAGUUAUGCAACCAAAGCGUGCUGUGCCGCUUGACCUUAUUCCCUUAUUCACCACACAAUCUAUCACGAACACUAUAAAUAACUCCUAUCCAUGGAUCGCAUCACCGACACAACGGUGACUCCCAGAUCUCCCAUCCUUUCCGUCUAACAAAUACCCCAGCCCGUGCUGGUUGUGGGGAUGCAGAGGUGAUCUCGGUCUUUAGUAGCAACAACCGGCACACUCUAACAUUCCUUUCCCUUCCCAACUGACUAUAAGGACGUGGCCGGCGACGUUAUUGAUCCAAAAUGUAUGAGCUGCUUAAAUUGCACUUUGAGAAUAAGUGGAGUUUUCCAGCCCUUAUUCAUUUGGAUCUCAGUGCAAUUGGCUUCUUUAGCGGUGUUGAGAUAAUUCCAUAUUCUGAAUCUGCAUGCAAAACUAAGCCGAAAUCCAAAUUUUCAUGAAUUUUGGUGCCCAGGAACCUAUUUAAAAAUCAAUUUGAAGUUUGUAUGGGAGCGAUUUGUCGAAUCACCCCUCGUCGCAUUUUGUACUGGGUGGAGCUGUCAAACAGUUACCCAGCUGUCAAAAGAUGAUUUCAAAAAAUCUCUUGGAAAUUGAUUUUAGGUACCAAAAUAAAGUUCUAAAAAUCUGAAAAAAAUCAUAGUGGCUCAGAAAAAGGUGCUCUUUCGUAUAAAAUCAAAAAAUUGAUACAUUUUUCUUAAUUUAAAAACCCAAUUGGUACCAGCUCAGAUCAAUCACGGAGGAGGAACCAUUGACAUGUAUAGUCAGAUUUGAUCGUUGAUCGUUUAAUCGCUAUGUCUAUGGGUGUAACGAUAAUUUCUUUCAGUAUGCAAAGCUACGAUUUGUAAUCUAUCAUAUCCAGUAAGUAUUCUGAAAGGUUAAUAGACAAUAUCGGGUUAGUCGGGUUAUCCUAGGUCAUCCUAACUGUUCUUUGAGUUUAGAUCCUAAAGUCUGCGGGUGUAACGGUAACUUCUUCCAUUAAAAGCUACAAUUUGUAAUGUAUCAUGUCCAGUAAGUCUUGUGAAAGUUAUAGUGAUUGUUUUUAUCAACUAAGCUUCAUAACAGUAAAGAAGGCCAUAGUAUCCUAAAAAUAUAUAACAACGCUUAUUGUUCCUCUAACUGCUUUGGUAAGUACAGUGGAUUAUGUAACACUACUCAACGUAGUGGCAAAAGCUAUUAUCACAAGUGUUGACCUGAAGCUGUGAUCUCCGGAGCAGUGUUGUUAAUCUGGAAUAUCUCAAAACUAUCUUGAAAUGAUUCAUGAUAUGCCAGGGGAAUUACAGAUUAUAGUUUAAAGUUCAUUGAGAGAAUAACUACUGUCAAGAGAUAAACAUCAGGAUAGCUUGGACGACCCUCAAUUUCCCAAAGGUUUAUAAUAAUAUAUAGUAGACUUCAGAUUGGUCCAGUCACUGCGAUUGAUUAUGAAAUUAUACUCAAUACAGGGAAUAGACAAAAUGAUCGGGACAGGCAAAAUUUUCA